GAGAGGGGAGGUUGCCAGUGCGCCUAGGCGUACUGGGCCUGGCCCCUUUCCCACAGCGGGUCAUACGGUUUUAUGGUGGUCUCCCGGGCCAUUUGUGGCUGUAGAUUUCGCGGCGGAGGGCUGUGAUGGCGGUUGUGGUGUGGACGGCGUGCUGAACUAGUUUACGGCAUGUGUUGUGUGCGGACUGUGUGGGGCAUCCGAGUGUUUUGAGGAGGGCAUGAAGGUGGGGUGUGACCGUGCCAGUAUGGCCAAGGCUAAUUAUAGUGUCUGGGCUGUACAUCACGUCCCAGCCUGCGUCGCGGAGAGCGGCCACGAGGUCUUCGUGUUGUUGCAGUUUCUCUGCGCGUUUGUCCGGGUGGUUUAGGUCCGAGCAGUAUCCGACUUCUAUGACGUAGACCUUAUGGGCGCUCCUUUGUCGGCGUGUGCGGGGUGCACGGGCUGGCAGUCCGGACAUGUGCAUCCGGAGUGUGGGAAUGACCAGCAGGUCUGGACGGAGCUUCUUACGCACGCUCUCUGGCGUGCUGGGGAGCAUCCACGCAGGGAUGCGGGUUCCCCCGCUAUAAGUGGGGGCAUCCUUACCGGCGUCCAUGUACAUAACGCAGCCUCCAUAGUGGCCCUGACUUAUUGCUUUCGCUAUCCGCUGGACAGCGCGGUUGUGACGCGCAAUGUAGGCUGCUUUCAUGCGUGGGUGGGUGCAGCCGCCCAGGGUGUGCGUGCCACCGUCGUCGCCGCGGCACAGGGGGCAUUCGCCGCCUGCGCAGCCGGGCAUGGGGUGUUUUACUCUUGCGGCCCGCUUGGCAUUCCAGGAGAGGCCCCAGCGGUAUUUGAACGCGCAGCGGGCCUCUUCAAAUGAGAACUUGUCGAACAGGUUUAGGCCGUAGCGUUCGUCGAUGUGCUUCCUCGCUGCCUCCCAUAGUUCCGCGUACAGUCCUGAUUUGGUAUAACCGGUCGCGGUGGAUUUACGGGCCAUUUUCUUCAGGUCGCGAUUGAGGUCGUUGGCGUAGCGCAACCGUUCUUCCAAAUUGCCAUUGUGCUCCACAAUUUCCUUCUGGGCAAUCCAUCCCUCUAAGGGUUCAUAUGGGUGCGAGUAUAGAGUUUCUGUCGCAUCCGGCUGCACUGUUCUGGUGGCCACAGCCUGUGCCGCUUCAUCCGCUUUCUGAUUUCCUACGCAUGUGUCUGUCUGGUGCGAACGUACGUGAUAAAAUGAUGUCUUGUGUCCAGCUAGGGCACGUUCCGCAAGUUGGUCGACUAUGGUCCCAAACAUCUCGCGGUGCUUGCUUACGUGGAGUGACUCGGGCUCCAUAAUGGCGCGACGGAGGAUGAACAGACUGACAAGACUGUCGGUGUAGACCCGUAGGUGAGGUGUGUCGCGAUGGAGGCGGAGCGCCGUGCGUAUGGCGGAUGAUUCACACCGAAGGAUGGUGCUCAGGGGUGUGUUGAAGGCGAUGUCUUCAUCAAUGUGCGUGGUGCGGUUGUCGCUGGCGUCCCAGACCGCCGCUCCCAGGCCCGUGUACUCUCGUGUGUGUGGUACUUUGCUCCCGUCGGUAAAGACCGCGGAGCCUCGUGUGUGUGCGAGCGGGACAUAAGCGCGGUAGAGGGUUGCAAGCUCCGUAGGGGAUGGUAGGGUGGGGGCAUCGCGAGGGGGCUGGGGCUGGGGCGUCUGGCUGCUCUGGGCGAGGAUGCGCCGUUUUAACUUCCGGGGGGUUGGGGGCCACGGGUUGGGUGUGUCUGGGUCCGUGGGGGGUUUACGGGUAGCUAGGUGCGGGGUGUGCCCGAGCGCGUCCGCUAGGGCGAGUGCAAGCCCACUCUCCAGGGCCUGAUUGAGGAGGAGGCGGCCCCUUUCGUUUGUCACGCACAGGAGGUGGAGUCCACGUCGGUGAGCGGGGAGCUCCUGCGGCUGGCCUAGGCCUGAGGCCAGGCCUGCCCAGGCGUGCGCCGGUUUGAUGUGCCCCAGGUCGUGGACCAGUGGGUGUUGGAGCCAGGCUGUGUAGCCGCUUGUGUCGCCAUACGGGACCACCACGACGGACAGGUGCGGUGUGUGCGGUGUUGCCGCCUCGGCGCUGGCGACCGCCCACGCCAUGGCCAGGCUGGUGUGCUCGGGUUGUGGGGGUGGGUGAACGAAGGAGAUUCCAUCUAGCGUGCGGCUGUAGCAGUCGUGGGCGGCCCCGAACUCUGAAUCUUGCGGGUGGGUAGUGUAGUAUGCUGGGAUGUCGCAGUGGGCGUUGAGGGGAGAUGCGAAUGCCUCCGUCUGGAACUUGAUAUGGGACGUGAGCGUGGACAUCAGGUCGGGGCAGAGGGUUACCUCGUGCGCUGGGUUGGUGGAACUCUCCUUGUGGCGUUUGCUGGGGCGGUACCGUAUAAUCAGGGAGGCCAGAGCGGCAGCAAACCUUUCCGGGGGGUGAGUGGGGUUAAGGGUCCUGUACCGGGCGUGGAGUAGGGCAAGUCGGGCAGCGCUAACGGUUCCUAUGCAGCGUCCAUCCGGGCCGUAGACCCUGGCGGGGGGGUCGGAGUCUUGGGGGAGGCCGGACGGCGUGCCUGUGGCGCUGCCCGGCUCACGUGUGCCCAUUUGAAUACAGUAUUGACCUGUCGGGUGGAUGUCUGUGUCCGGGUUACAGGAUUUGACGUCGAUGGUGCUGCACCGGAGGAUCGCACGUUUGCGUGCGGCUUCGCUGGGUGCUGGGUCUCGCCAUCUGCCCUGGCGCUGCUUACUGGUGAGGUGAUUGUCAAGGGCGGGAGGCGGGGUAGGGUCAGGGGGCGCGUCUACGGCUUGGGCAAGAGUGUAGCGUGCCAGGGCAGCCGCCCACCCGGGGUUUUGGGAGAGUGAGGAGAGGGGGUCUUCCGUUUCAGCCCAGUGCACUUGGACCAUGAAGCGCCGGAUGCCUUGCCCCCAUAGCCGGCACGGGGGUUUGGUUGUGCUAGUGGUGUUGUAGUUCUGUAGCUCGUAGGCUCGGAGGAUGCCGUUUGUGGUCAGGGUGGGUUGCCACCGAACCCUAUAGCGACAGCGUUCUGCCCAGGGGGGCUCCUCGGGCGGUGGGCCCUGCUUUCGUUUUCGCUUGGGCGGCGGGGCGUUAGUUUUGUGGGUCAUGGGUCCGCUGACGACGGCUGCGAUAAUGUCGUCGCGGUUAGUUAGAUGGGCGGUGAUGUGCUGUGCUGCCUGUACCCCAGCGAUGGACUGGGGUAGGCGGCCAUUCAGCGCAUUGUCUCUGACUUUGCGCCACGCAGGGCGGGAGCUUGGCUGCGCGGCUGCGCUGUCUCUCCUGGGUGCGGCUGCCCGUGUGGGGGCCCGCGGCUGAAUAGCAUGGUGAGUGUACGGGCAGCGAGUGGGUUGGGAGCCGCGUUUACGCCGGUUAUGCGAGUGUGCGGGCGCGGGCGGUGGGGCUGUGGCGGGGCAGCCAUCGGGUAGGUACAGCCGCUGGUACGUGGGAGCAGCAGGUUGCUGGUAUGGCCGGGUAUUUAGUAGCGCGUGGACCGUGUGGGUGUGUGGGCCGGUGAUUAGUGCGCGGGCUGGCAUUUGCCUGAUUGGGGACCUCCAGGUCCCCGUCCAUCGCGUGGUCCCUAGGGUUUUGCAUUGUUGAGCGAGUGGGGCGAACUCCCUCGCGGCACUCAUGUAGAAAGCUAGGUCCUUUGUGGGGUCGGAGGGAUCAUGAACCGUAGAGCCGGGUAGGGCGUCGUCAUUGGCUACGACCUCGGGGUUGCUUGUGCGUGUGUCGUGUUUGAUGAAGUGAGAAUGACGUUGCUUUGCCGUUUGCUUCGGUUUUGCCUGCAGGACUUCUAGGGAAGGCUUUGGUGGAGCUGCGGGGCUCGGUAGUGCCUCUUGCCAGCGGGCCAGGAGGGAGGUGAGAGUUCGUUGGGGUAUGGGUUUAGGUAGGUCUCCCGCUGAAUUGAGGUCGGCCUUGGAGACGCCGGCGGGCAGGGUGCGGCUUUGCAUGGGGAGGGGUUUGUGGCCCAUAGAUUUGGGGGGUGCUUCUGCCGGUUUACAUAGGGCGAUGGUAAAUCGGUUUAAGGCCCUCUUGUGCUUGUCUUUCACCCUGCCUUUUGGGAACCGCCGGUCAAGCUGCGUGGUGUCAAUAAUGUGCCGCCCUGUGUUUGCGUCCACCAGGUCCGCCAGGUUCAGUCCAAGGUCGAUGGUCAAGGGGCUGAUCCAGUCGGCGCGAAGGUAGGCGGGCGUGGUGGCUUCAGCGGCCCGUAGUUUAGAGACAAGGGCUGGUAGGGCGGCAGUGAAUUCUUUGCCUUGCAGCAUGGCAAGUAGGUCGUGGUCCUGUAGAAGUGUGAGUUGUUUAAGGGUGACAAAAAAUUGACCCGCCCUUUUCAUGUCGUGCAGUGGGAGGUCACUUCCUGCGUGCGCGGCCUGUAGGUGGAGCAGGCGGCGUGUCACGACACCAAGCCGGCCGGUGUCGUUGAGCGAGAUUACGAGUAGCCUCGAGGCUCUCUGCACGUAUUCUUCCCGGAGUGAGCCGAUCCCGAGGCCGCCUAGCUCGGCGGGUAGUAGGAUGGCGCGGGUGGCGCAAUCGCGUGGUAGACCGACGCAUCUUCGAGCGAUGCCUGCGAUUUGGGCGUCCAAGGCCCGAAUGUCUGGCUGCGUGUAGGCCAUGGUUGGUAAGGAGUAGGCCACUUUGGCUUUCAGGCACUGUUUGAUGAGCAUGUAGCAUUGGCGUGGGAGUUUUCGGUACCUGCUCAGCUCCUCGCCGGCGUCGGUUAGGUCGGCUUUGACCGCUUUCAGUUGGGAGCGCCAGUCUAGUGUCAUAGUGAUUUCAACACCGAGGUAUCGGUAGGGCUUGUGCGGGGGGAUGUAAGGGAGGGUGAUGGCGGAUCGCUUGCCGUCUUUGGUGCAUGUGCCGACAUGGAUGUGGCCCGCCAGGAGGCGUUUGAGGGUGCGGUCACAGGCGGGGCCCUUAAUGCUCUUGUCCGUACUGUUGGCGCUUGCAUAGUGGUGUAGUAUGCCAGUGCACGCGCUCUUGUCGCGGUUGAUGCGCAUGCCGCCCCAGGCAGCGUACCGGGCGAUCUUGUCAGUUUGGCACCUAAGGUUGUCUCGGGAGUUGGCAGCUACAGUCAGGUCGUCCGCGUAGCCUAGGGACGAGCAGUUAUGUUCGUCGUUUUCGCUGUUGGUGAGACAGCCGUACCGGUAGCCUCGUCCCCCGUAGUGGAGCCACCGCAGCAGCGGUUCAAGGAAGAUAAUGAACAGUAGGGGCGAUAGGGUGUCACCCUGCAUAGUGCCGCGCCGUAUGUGAACAGGGUUGGUGCGGCCGUGUGUUGUGCGGAUUGUGGUGUUUGCGGAGGAGUACAGAUUGCGUACGACUUCAAUAAAGUCGGUUGGUAGGCCCAGGUGGUGCAUUAUUGUAAGCAAACGGUCGUGGUCAAUGGUACCGAAGGCGUUCGAGAAAUCAAUGUAUGCGACAUAUAGGUCUCGUUUUGUUAAGGCUGCGUCUUCGAUUACAUGCAGUAAGUUCAUGAUUUGGCGUUCUGUUCCCUUGUGCUUCUGAAAGCCCUCUUGUGCUUCGCUGUGGAUGAGAAGAUCUGUGCACGCUUCAGUUGCCGCCCGGGUGACUAAGCUGGUAUACAGCUUGUACAGUGUGUUGCACAGCGCAAUAGGCCUGUAGUUAGAGAUGGAGAGCGGGUCUGCCUUUUUGUACAGGAGAAUGGUGUCGCUUGUGGACCAGCCGGCCGGGAGUUCGGCCUUAAUCCACGCGACGCACAUGAGGGUAUGGACAGCGGAUUGUAACGCCUCUGGCAUGCACUUCAGUAGCUCGUUCGGGAUGCCGUCCGGGCCGGGGCUUUUAUUGCGGGAGAGGGCCUGCAUGCACCUCUGGAAGUUGCUGGAGUCGGCGACGUUGGGCAGCAGGGAUUGAGCGUCUGGGUGUGCUGUGCGGGCCAGUAGGAAGCCGCCGUCGGGCGCUCCGGGUUCGUUCCACGGGAAAGUUGUGUCCUUGUCCUCGGGUCUGUAGCGGCCGGUGCGCUGGCCUCCGGUAGGUUCCGCGGCUGCCUGGAAGUGGGCGUGGAGCGCGUCGUUGAUGUCAGAACUGGUUGUGGCUAUGUGUUGGGUUGCGGGGUGCCGCACAGCCGUGAGGUUUUGCCGGGGCCCUGAUUUUCCGAGCAUAAUUUUGGCUGCCUUGCUUUGUGAGGUUGCAAAGAGUUUGGAGAUCUUAGUCAGCCAUUUGCUAGCGGCCUUGGCGCUGGUUUCUUUCUGUGUGGUGCGGCGUGUUUUGAGUGCGUCUUGCCACUCCUGCCGGGCGGCAGUGGCGGGCGCGGGCGUCGCGGGGGGCUCGGGUUGUGAGGGAUUGGGGGCCGUUGGAGGCGGGAUUGCGGGUUCCUGCAGUUGAGCCGCCCGCACGAGGGCGAGGUACUGUUGCUUUUUUUGUUUUUCGACUGCUAUCAAGCGCUUGAGUUUCUUUGCUUCUGUUCGGGAGGGCUUCGCUCUGGAGGUCCGAGGUGGUUUCUGGGGGCACGUUUGCAGCAUGAGUUUUGCCCCGACGGCAAGCGCUCCAUAUAAAGCGGUAGAGGCGGCGUUGAGGUCGAUGGCGGAGAGUUGAGCGCGUGCGCCGGUUAUGAUGUCAUGGGCAGUGCGUGUCGAUGCCGUGGAGUUGGAGUGGUGAGAGAUUGCGGCUACGGUGGAGUCGAUGAUUUGUUGCGCGCUGCAGUUGGGUAGGGCAAGUGUGGCGUGUAGUGUUACAAGCGCGGUGGUUCCUUCUGCCUCCCAUUGUUGCGAGAUGGCGCGACUUUGGCUUUGCGUGAUAGGUUUGACAAUGUUUGCAAGUGUUGGGCUGGCAUCUUCUGGUUGUCUUCGAGGUUCCCGUUCAGUGUGUGGGGAGGCGUCGCGCGGGGGUUUGUAGGGUAGGGUAAUUUGCAGGUGGAGAGCGAGAUGAUCAGUUGUGCCUGCACAUUCUGUGGUCCAUUCUCGAGCGGGGCUGUCCUGGCGCAGGGCGUGGGUAUUGGCUAGGAAGUCGUCUAUGCGGCUCUCGUGGGUGAUGGUGUCGUGUUGUAUCUGUGUGUAUGUGUACAGCCUGGGUUGUGUGUGGGCGCCUGCGGCUGGUUUGAGGCUUGUGCGAGUCAGGAAGGUCUGGUGCGUUUUGUCGCCUUGGGUACCAGUGCGGGUGCUCCUAUCCGUGUCAUAAGCAGCGGCGUUCCAGUCCCCGCCGGUUACGAGGGGUUCUUUUAGGCGGGCUGCGCUCUUGGUGGCACGGGUGAUGUAUGUGUAUAAUGCAUCGCGGGUGGAUUUGUUGUCUGGUGGGCAGUAUAUCCCGAUGAUAUGCAGCGGUAGGGAUGAAUGUGUUGCGAUUCGCAAGUGAACCAUGUAUCCUUGCAGCUGUGCUGGUGUGGGCAAGCAUGUAAUGUGUUCUUUCCGGGCGUAUCUGGUGUGUACGGCUAGUGUGACGCCGCCGGAGGGUUGGUGCCGCCGCGGGUCUUGUUUUUGGCCCUUCAGUGGUGGGGGGCGGGGUGUGCUGUGCACGAACGACGUGUACGCUUUGAGGCUGUUUUUGAUGAUGUCUCGUUCCGUCCUGGUUCGAUGGGCUCUCGUUUUGGUUUCGGUGAGUAUGAGGAUGUCUGCGUCCCAAGUCUCUAAUUCAUCUCGAAUCGCUGUCAGAUUUGAGAGCAGGCCUCGGGCGUUAAGUGUGACGAGGUGGCAUGCAUCGGUGUGUGUGGGUGCCACCGGCGUUGCAGGGUCUUCCCGAGGCGCCUGUGCAGCCUUGAGGAAUGCUUGGAGUGUGGCUUGUCGUGCCUUGACAGCCAGGCGCGGUGGGGGGUUGGGAGGCGCGGCGGGUGGUGAUUGUUGGGGGGAAAUGUUGGUCACGGCCGGCGUUGCAGUGGGUGUGUGUGGGUUUGCCGGGGCGCGGGUGUUUGGGGCUCGCUUUGCUUCGCAAUUGGUUGUGGCCCGUGUUGUUUUGCGUGGUGCCGGGGGGGAUAGGGAGAGCGCGCGUUUUGCAGCCUUGCGUGGGUUGGUGGGGGAGCCCAUGGCUCGCAGGAGGGCGUGUGUAAUGGUGUUUGUGCGUGCUUUUUUGGGUAGUGGGCUGCGGGUGGGUGAUUUGGCGUGUGUGACAAUGAUGUCUCGCGUGCACGGGCCUCCGUCCCAAAUAGAUUCGUGGAACAGAGGUGAGGGAUCUUGGGUGACAGAGCCGGAGGUCCAGGUGUGACGUGUGACGGCGAUAUAGUGGUUGCAGUCUGUAACGGGAAACGCGGUGGGGAAGCCGGCGAGAGCCCAGGAGUGGGGUACAUGUGCUAGAUACACGUCAUGGCGGGUGUCAUUGGGUUGGGGUGUUGGGAGAGUGAGCCAGUCGGUGUAGCCGGGGCUAAUGACGUGGAUUUGGACGCCUGGUAGGAGGGAUUGGAGGGCAAUCAGGUCAGGGAUGGUAAGCAUGGAGGUAUCGCGGAUAUUGCGGCAGUGUGUGCGUAUGGUGUUCUCUGGGUGUGGGGAUUCUUCGUAAAGGCCGAGGAUGUGUGUGCGCAUCUCGUCGCUGCCCGGGGUGCCUGGUGCGGUGAGAUGCUCGAGCCUGGAUGCGAUGCAUGCUCGUAUGGCGCCAGUCAUGGGCGCCCAUUGUGCUGGGUCGGAGGGUAUGAGUGGUACCCGGCUGCCUGGUAGGACGGCUAGGGUCCCAAAGAUUGCGCAGUUGUUGCCCCAGGAGCAUGUGUCUAGUAGUUGGUGGCCGUUUGCGGUGAGGUGGUUGGCAAGCUGACUUAGUGCGCGGAAAGAUGGUUGCCCCAUGCGGUCGGGGGCCCAAUUGGCGGGUGGCCCAAUUCCGUUCAGGCAGAGGGGUAAGAGGGGUGGCGUGUCAGGGGUGCGGGUAGACAGCGUGAAAAUUGUGCCGGCCAUGUCGAGGGUCGUGGUGUGUUGUAUGGUGCGGGGUUGGGUGUCGGCUGAGUCGAGGAUGAUCCAAUUAGCGCCGUGCCGUUUGACUGCAAGUACAUGGCCGUAGAUGCCGCUGGAGUAGCCUGGUGUGAAGAUGAGGAAUCCAUUGGCGGCUUGUGCAUGGCGGCGUGUGACGCUAUGUGGGGAGUCGCCGGGGCGUACGGCGUCGUGGGCAUGGAGAGCUAGUGCUUGGUUUGCUCUGUGGCAGUUGUACAUGAGAUAGUGGUUGACAGCGUGUAUUGAGAACUGGCCUAUGGCCGGUGUGAAGGCUUGCGACAAUGCAAAAGUUUCGGUGGUGUUCUCGCGUCCUCGGGCUUGACGUAAGAGCUGCUCUAGAUACGACAGGACACGGUAGGGGGAUACGGCAGCUGCCCCUAACAAGUUGUUGAUGGCGUGUAUCCAGCAGAAGGAGAGCUCUUGCUGUUCAAAGUAGAUACGUCCAGAGUGGGAGCUAGGUGGAGCGGAGGAGGAAGCAGGUGGUUUGCUGCCGGCUGUAAAGAGGAGGCAUUGUGUUCCGCGUCCCUUCGCUUGCCCUUGUACGGCCUGUCGCGCAUCUGCUAUUGCAGGUGGCUUCGGCCGUGGGGCGCUGCGGGAGGCGUGAGGGAAAUACAGCCAUAUGCGAGCGGGGGGGAAAUUCGAACCUACAGCCUCCGAUACGUAGUGCGUCUGUGUCCGCAAGUCAAACGUGGCGAGCAGCUUACACCGCCAGUGCCACCAGAAGGCAAUAAGCAGAGGCAAGAGGACAUAAAGCAUGAGCAUUCUGCCGGCCAGCGGGCAAGUUGUCCACCCAUUGACAUGGAAUCCGGGAGCGAAACGGUCUUCCCGGCUGCACAAACUGUGUGUAUCCUUCACCAGUCCCGCAGCAAGUAUCAGCAGGGAUAGGGCGAGUGUGAGCGCGAGGGGGCAGAGAGCAGAAAGGCGUGAGGAAAGUGUACUCUUGUUUGUAAUGUUUUGCGGGUUAGUCAGAUUGUUUUGUCUCUGGGGAUAUAAAUUUCUUGGGGUAAGGGCAGCGUUGUUGGGGUUUUUGAGGGUCGGGUUGUUGUGGGUUGGCUCCAAGGGUCCGGUUCGCGUGUGCUGGUGCUGCGGUGUUACAGAGUAUUGUUGUGUGUUGUUGGGGGUAAGUCGCGACGCUCUGGCGUUGCGCGGGAGUUGUGAUGUCGCGGUCUGAAGCGUCUGUUCCUCCUUAGUGUCUGGUUGAAGGUGUGAACGUUGUUGUUUAGUCUUGCCAUCACUCAGAGGGUGCUGGCGAGCCCUGGGCGGCUGGUGGAAGUCCGGUCGAUAGGAUGAUCGUGAGAACGUGGGUUCGGGGUCGCGUCGCAACACUGUGAUCCCAAGGAGCUUUGAACCGUGACCUUUGUGGUAGGGGUGUGAGGCCCCUUUACAGGGGAGUCUCGCUACCGGUCGUGUCUCCGCAUUCCCUGGGCAGUUUGCCGCUUCAGAGCCUGCACCUGUUUUUCCUAGCUUUUGAUCAUUGCUAGGAAGGCUAGGGCAUGGCUCAGCCACGCUAUCUUCCGGACUUGGCCCAGUCGGCGCCAGUCUGUGAGUGCGAGCUGGCUAACUAGCCAGCAUCGAUUGGCAAGAGUAUUGGCAACAUUCUAGUGCGGCAGCAGCAGCAGUAGCAGCGGCAGAGCUGGCGCUGGCAACGGCAGCAGUGGCGGCUCAAGCAGUCAAUCAAGCCGUCGCAGCACGCCGCUGGCUUGUCGGCUGCUGAGGUCCGUGCGUUAACGCCAGCAGGCAUCUUGCCGCUGGCGCCUGUAGCCCAGCAAGGAGCUAGGCGUGCUUGAUCGGCUUUAAGUCAGAACCCGCAUGGUUUAUGCGGCGGGGCGCGGCAGGCAGACCCCGUCUAUGUCUGGUGCAUGUGGGCAACCUUCCAAUUGCCGCCAUGUACCUGGCGGCGGUCAAGUCCGCCUCCAAUACUCACAGCAAGGUGCGGGGCGUGGGUGAGGCCGCCACCUACCUGGGGAUGGAGAUCGGGAGGGACCCCGGCACCGGCGAUGUUCCGCUGCAGCAGUGCCAGUACAUUAGCGACAGCCACUGCAUGACUGCUGCUGCACCUUGCAGCCUGCAUUGGUCGCCUAGCACUUGUGUGCAGCCAGUAACAAGCAGCCAACACUGGCGGACGGCAGGACCCGCCGAUCACUGUUUGGCGCGCUGAACUGUGUCGCCGUCAACCCAACACUGCAGAUGCACUACGCCUGCUGGCACUGAUCCACAAGCUGGCGGUGGGUGUGUUGCACUACCUUCAGCAUGCCGCCGACAUGGGUCUGCCCUUCCGUGCUUCCGCUGGUGCUCCCGCCCGCACUGGCAGCAGCAGUCACAGUGACGGCGGUGGCGGUGACAUAGGUGGCUCUUUCAUGAGCUACUGUGACACCGACGGGGCUGGUGAUUCCCUGACUGGCCGCUGCAGACCGCCUUCAUCCUUGGCCUGGGCCAGUGCCCAUGUCUACCAUCUACACUGUAGAAAUCUGCCCAAAUCCGCCGAAGGUGAAAACAUUUGUUGGGACUGGGCCGCACUUCUACGGAGUGGAGACGUUUGGGUGCAGAUUUGGUGGUAUCUAAAGAUAUUUUGAGGGUUUGGGGGCUUGCCCCACUGAUAAAUUGUUUCCGGGCGUAGAUGCUGCAGGAGGGGUCAUCUACGCGCUGUAGAUGCUGCGGGCCUGAGGGCAUCUUUAAGAUACAGGCACUGAAGUCCUGGGCGAAAGGGAUGUUACUUAGGGAUGGGGCUGCGCUUGGCUCUGCCAAUGCGCAGCAAGCCUGGUGCCUAGCGGGACUGCAGUGGCAUGCAGCGACACCAGAUAUGGUGCUCAGUUUACAGGGCAGUUACUCUCACGUUAGCAGCCCAUCAUGUGCUAACCAUAGCAUACCCCUGCCUGGUGUUGCAUCGCUGGGGGUUCUGUUGGUUGGUCUGGAGGGGCCGAAAGGGGGUCAUUUUGGUGCCGCACAGAGUGGUCUCACGGGACCACUAGCUGGCUAUGCCUUUCUUCGUGCGGUGCUGCACUUAAUGCAGUUCCCGGCUUUGCAGCGGUGAUGCCAUAUGUUGACUGCAUCACACGGCACGGUGUGCUUGCUGACCUUGCCUCAGUGCUGGCGUCUCAGUAUGCGCCGUUGCUCGCGGGCCUGCAGGCGGCACCCGUCGUCCUGGCUGACAAGGAAGUGUUUCGGUGUGCGUCCGGCCAGCGGCUGAACAUGACUAAAGUUGAACUGUUGGUGCUAGGCGCCCGGGAAGGCUUGGGGUGGUGCCGGCCGGGGCGGCGGGGCCUCCCUUGCCCCCGGGCUGGCGGGUGGUCACAACGGCCAAGUCGCUGGGUGUACAUUUUGGUGACUGGAAGGCAGCCACCCCACCAAUGGAGUAUGCGGCGGUGGUGGGGGUGCUGGGCAUGGAUGUGUGCAUGCCGGUGUCUAUGUUUGGUCGGGCGGCCGCGGCCUCGGCGUAUGCCCUGGGCAAGGUGCUCUACCAUUUGGAGUUUGCGGGUCUGCCCUCGGAGACGGCUGUUAAGGCGUUGUUGGGUCAGGUGGCGGCAGUGGUGGACCGGCCCAGUAUGCCGCUAACCCCCGCGCCCGGCCGGUAGGCGUGUCCCUGGAGAUCAUGCAGCUGCCUCCGGUGUGUGGUGGCGUGGGGCUCCUGCCUCUGCGGCAGCAUGUGCAGGCACGGCACGCUGGCCUGGCCGUUCGGUGUGUGCUGUGGGCGUGUGGUUGACUGCCGUGUGUGCCGCCAUGGACGAAGGUGGUGGAGGCGUGGCUGCGUAGGGGUCACCCGGCGGCCACGCCGCUGUGCCUGUUGGUGCGGGGUGGCAACUCCCGCGUUCUGAACAAACCAGUUCCCCCGGCCUGCGCACCGUUUUUGCGUUUGUUAGGUGCUAUGGCUCAUUUGCCGCCAGAGACGUUGGUGGCGCCGCCCGCCCCGGGGCCCUGGGUUUCCCAUGUGCCAAUGUGGGCGAAUCCGGCGCUGUGUGAGAAUGAUCGGACUUUUGAAGAGGCGUUUGCAGAUUUGUUUGCCUUACCGGGGCCCCUGUACGUGGGUCAGCUGGUGGCGACGUCUGACCAGCUGGAGGAGGUGCGAGCGGCUUACGCCUGCCGUGCGGGGUGGGGCACCCGGUUUGGGGAGGCAGUUCUAGAUAUGUAUCUGAAGAAGGUGUGGCGGCCAGUGCUUGGGUGGGGGCCCCGGAGGGCGCUCCCAUCCCCGCUGGUGGGGCCUGACUCGCCCCUGCAAGCUGCAGACCGCUUUGCGGUGGCGGUCGCGCUGCUCCCCACCAGCUUGGAGGCGGCGGCGCGGGAGGCCGGGGCGGCUCGUGGGCGUGCCGCUUUUAUGCCACUCUCGGCCGGAGACAUGCAACGGGCGGUGGCUGGGGCCCUUGCGCAGGUGGCCCGGGGAUUGGGGUGGGUGCACGACGGGGGCCCGCCCAUUCUCCUGGUGGUAUACUCCGUGAAGGCGGGGACGGUGAUGCAACUGGGUCCCCAGCUGUCCGCGCUGCGGACUAAACAUUUGCUGUAUGUGCGGGAUGCUGGUGUGCCGGAAGCGGGAGAGGCUCAUGCCGCUGGACCUUUGCCGGCACUCUGGCCCGUUUGUGAGCGUUGAAGUGGGAGAAUCGCCACAAGGAGGUGCUGUGGCGGGUGGCAGCCAACGCAUGUUGGGCACUUCCGAAGAAUGGUCAUCACCUCCGUGCGUCUGGAACGAGGAUGCCUCUGUGCCAGGCUUGUGCGAUGGAUAUGUGCGAUGGGGACCGCCGGCACCCUUUCUGGGACUGCGUUGUGGCGCGGGCUUUGCGGGAGGACAUGGCUAUGGGUGCCGUGCCGGACUUGGGGGAUGAGUGUUUCACUCGUGCUGAUCUUUGGUUGGUGCAGCCGCCUGCUGGGCUGGCGCCGCCGGUUUGGGAUGUGGUGUGCCUGGCUGCGUUUUCCGUCCUGGACCUGGGCCGGCAGCAGGUGGUCAUGGCUGGUGUACGCGCGGGUCGGGCUUUGACGUCGUCCCAGGUGCUGCGUGUUAGUGUAUCGUUUAUCUCCGACUUUUGGGGUCGGCUGCAGUCUUUUGUUAGUCUUGGGAUGGGAAAGUAAGGUGCCCUCUCAGCACCCACCUUGCGCAGGGUACCGGUGACUGCAUGCUUUCAAGCACGUCAAUAAAUGCUCCUGGUGGUACCUCAUGAUGUGGACUCCCCGCCUCCCUCGCCUUGAAGCCGCCUCUGGGAUGUGGGCGCCGGGUACCUCUGCUACGCUUUUCGACAGCAGCCCGUCGCGCGGGCGCGGGGGCAGCCGAGCGCGCGGGCGUGGCGGCAGGCGCGCGCACAGCAGCCCGUCGCGCGGGCGCGGGGGCAGCCGAGCGCGCGGGCAUGGCGGCAGGCGGGCGCACAGCAGCGGAGGGAGCGGCAACGAAGACGGUGACCAGCGUGGGCCCCGUGGCGGGCCGGGCCGGGCACCCGGGGACAACCCAGUGCCGGGCGUGGUCGCGGCUGGCGAUCCGCUGGCUGAUUUUGAGCUGGAAACCCUUGGCCCCAUGCGCAUCGUGGGCGUUGAUCCCAGCGUAGGCAACUACCUGGUGGCCUGUGUCGGGUCAAUGCCAGGCUUCUCACCGCACAGCUACAGUGGCCGGCCACGAGCCGCGCACGUCUGGCGUGGCCCAGAUGGCCAGGCUCCUGGGCCUGCCCAGUCCCCACUGCAGCGACGGCGGAAGCGGCGGCGGCGACGGCAACAGCGGCGGCAACAGCGGCGGCAACAGCGACAGCAGCGGCGGCGGCGGCGGGGGCAGAAACGGAGGUGGCGGCGCCAGGGGGGCGGGAGGUGGAAGGGCAAGAGGCGAGGGUGGCGGGGCACGCGCCAGCACACGCAUCAGCGUGCCGCAACAGAACGGCGCCGCCAGCAGCGCGCCUGCUUCACCCGGCUGUCUGGCGCUGGCUACCGCCACUGCACAGGCCAGACAGGCCGUCGGCUGUGGCAGCAGGCACGGCAAGAGGAGCAGCCGGCGCUCAAGUGCUGUCAGGCGGGGAUACCCAGCGCGCGGGUGGCGUCGGCAGCUGAUCAUGAGCUGCGAAUACGCUACCUCUACUCUGGAGGUGGCGUGGACGCGGCGGCAGCUGCCGGGUCUGCGCCUGCGCCGGCGCAACAGUACGGGCUGUGGCACCUGCUCCGUUUCUACCGGCAGUGGGGCCAGCGGCGGUGGCGCCUGACUGUCCAUGUGCGGACGCAGAAGGUGGGGGUUGAGCAGAUGCAUCCACACCAACUGCAUUGCGCUGACGCAGCACCAAUGCCACGGGUACAGGUGCUGGAGCACUCGGCGCAGCAGCUGGCUGGUGGAAGGCCCAAGGAGGAGGUCAUUGUUGGCUGGGGCAACGCCACCACUGGUCAUGGCGGUUGCAUCAGCAGGUUGGGGCGGGGCCCAAACCGGGCACUGCUCCGCCUGCUGGUGGACAAGUACGCGCACCUGGUGGUGCACGUGGAUGAGUUCUACACAUCACAGGCAAGAUGAGAGCAGACGGGUCGGAAUGAGUAGACAGGUGGUCGGGUGGACAGGAUGGGGCUCGUGUACUGGUAGCCGGGUAGCCAGCAAGGUUCACACUGUACACCUGUCCCCUCCCUCCCCAGGUGUGUGCGAAGUGCGGGCGGCGCUUGCUCGGCGACGGGCAGUGCUGCCUGCAGGCGGUCGUACCAUGGGGGGCUCAUGUGCUCACCAAGUCCAAGUGUGCAACCACUGCGGGACGGUGUGGGUGAGUCUACUUUGCGGGCGGGCGGCUGGCUGGGUGAUGGCUGGGUGGCUGGGUGACGGCUCAGUGGGGCUCAGUGGGGCUCAGUCAUGGGCUCAGUGGGGCUCAGUCGUGGGCUCAGUGGGGCUCAGUGGGUGAUGGAUGGGUGACGGCUGGGUGACGGCUCCGUCGAGGGCUCAGUGGGACUCACUCACUCUACCCUCCCGACGGUGCAGGGACGUGACGUCAACUCCGCAACCAACAUCCGGCACGCGCUGGUGGAGAUGCUGCUGGGGCACAAGCGACCUGCAUCGCUGCAGACUGGCGGUGGCGGCGGCAGCGGUGGCGGCGGCAGCGGCGGCGACGGCAGCGGGGCGCGUGCCCGCAUCUUGGUAGUGGAGGGGGCGGGAAAGGCCACGUGGAGGAGGAGAGCGCAGCGUAGCGCCGCCCAAGAAGCGGCGCAAGCGCGCAGGCUGAGGAGCCGGCUGGUGUCCAGGUAGCGGUCCGCGGUUGGGCUGGCAGGGCAUGCGUAGCGGCAUGACGAGUACGGUCGUGCGGCUGUUGACAAGUGUGCUGUGUCUGGCUGCGGUUGGCUCUGCUGUGACAUCGCGAUUGCUAGGCACCUGGUUUGGCUAUGUGCCUGUGGAAACCGACCCUGGCUAUGUCCGGGCGAUGAGGUUGUUCGGCCUCAGGGGUCGUAUCUUGUUUUGGGGGUAAUGUCUAGCUCCAGACAAAAACGGCCGGGUGGCCGCCGUCUUUUGUCUGGGCACAUGGCGGUUUGGGGGCUUCUCCAUAGGAUUUCGGACAAAACCCGCCCCAAACCCGGGCCAACAAAGUCUCGCCCCAGACAUUAGCCCCAAGGACGAAUGUCUAGGAAACGGCCAAAAUGGUCAAUUAAUGUCUGGAGACAUUAAGAUAGGAGCCCUGUUCGGCCUCAGACUGUGGAGGGGCUCAGCCCCUUUUCCCGUGACCAGGGAACACUUGUUCUGAACUCUGGGUUAACGGGGUCCUCGCCCCCCCUUCGUCCAGGUGCCGCGCCCCACCCGCACGGAGUGGCCACUGUCCAUUGAUUGGGCCGCCUUCACCCUGUGGGUUUAGACACUUGGUAUCGUGCUAUGUUUGCUGAUGCCUGCAAAGUGCACGGGCACAUCACGAUUACUAGCAUGUCACAAUGAAGCUGUGAAACCCUGAACUACCGACUUUGAAGUGUUAUGAUGUGAAGGUUUGAAACCUUGAACUUCGCAUUCAGACAGCAUACUGUAAUGCAUAUGUGAAUGCGGGUAAACCUCAAAAGCAGAAAUCUGCCUUCCAGUACCACUGCAGGCAUCCCAAAAGCCAUCAAAAUUCGAGUGUAGGCCCGGAUUCAGGAGCCCUUCUUUGCACAAGCCUUUAGCUGCAUUUGUUAGAGGUUUUACAAAUGAACAUGACAUUGCUCAUGCCCCAAGCCCAUUGCCAGGGUCCUAGUCACAGGACUUGUGUGUACGCAAGUCACCUGACUGUCAAGUUUUGAUGGGGGUUAAGGAUGCGCACCCUCUACACUGAAAGCCACCCAUUCGACACCAGUGCAUCAUGUCUCUCUAUCUCAAACAAACACAGGACCCGCUUGACAAGCUGCUUGGCGAGCUGCCCACCAGGCAACACGAAAUCCUUCCAUGCCAGCUCCCCAUAGUAUUCAGACCUACAGGAUACCCAAGUAUGUCGACACAGCCAUGGGGCCCUCACGCCGGAAGUACAGACUGCAGCACCAGCUCGCCAUUCUGGAGCCCGGUGCCACUGGUAGUUGCCACACGUGGUGCACCCAGGCUGCCGUUGAGCUUGUUGAAGUAGGCCCACGUGAUGCCAAACAUAAGGCCUGGGCUCUUGGGCAGCUUGCCAUCCAGCACAAACUGGAGUAGGUGUUGCAGAAUCAGGCAUCAGGCAGGGAUGAGCUAGGUGUCAAAAGAAAGAGCAACACAGCACAAGCAUUAGUCACAUAAACAGUUGCCACUUCCCCAAUGCAUGCCACCAUGUUGUGAUUGGACAGUGGGUAGCCGCCAUUGUAGUGAGCUUGCGUACCUCAUGCCCCCAUGCACACCGCAGGGCCUGCAUACCUGCUGGCAGCUCUCGAAGGGCAGGGCCAGCACCUCAAUGCACUCGCCGUGCCCCAACAGCCCGCCGCCUGCACCUGCCACCGCCAUAGACGAGUCCACCUGCAUACCGUAAUGCAUAGCCAAUGAGCACACAACAGACACAGCGCAAGCGGGGGAAGGAGGAGGCGGGGAAGGAGGAGAAGGAGGAGGAGGAGGAGGAGGAGGAGGGGAGGCGCUACCUAUGGCAUGAACAAGCUGCGGGAUGGCCAGAAUCGGUGGCUGAGCAGUCACCAUACUGACCUCCGCGUAGUACAUGAUGUGUGGACAGCCCUGGGUGCCCGCAGACGCAAUGCCAACUCCAAUCUGUACACCACCGGCAUGCAACACGGGGCACGACUGUGACACUGCAACAUUGAGGCAAAUGACGAGGAUUUCUAAGCAUAUCAUGCCCAAGAUGGAUGGCAGCAUUGCAAGGGACUCUGGUUAGCGGCUCACCUCGUGAAUGCCCUCCAGGGGAACAUCAAACCCGCACUCCUCCAUAAUCUCCUAUGCAGCGGGUGGCACAGACACAUGAGUGUGGCGUCUCUUAAACUUAAUACCGCAACCUAGAACCACCAUUGCGCGCUCGAUUGCGUUGUUCGCUCUGGCAGCGCACAAGCGCCUCAAGCGCGAACGUGAGCCGAGCGCCGGGUGCGCGCAAGCAGGCGCAGCGCCGCAUGGCAACCGAUGGGUGCGCACCUCCUUGCAGAUCUCUGGGUUGGACUUGUCUUUAUCGAUCAGGCCCGCGCACAGCUCAUAAGUAAACGCUGCGUGCAUGGCCAUUGACAAAGGGGGCACAGUUAAAGAAGAUUACAGUAAUUGUCAGUGUGUGUUGUGGAGGCCUUGGUGCUUCAUGCCUGUCCAUGCAUCCCGUCAUGUUGUCCAUUGCAUGUUCUUAACGAACCUAGCAGUGGCAUUGCAUGCAGCUGCUUAACUCCUGAGAGAAGCUCGCCAUUGAUAUUUGCUUGGCUACGUUGAUACACACGCGCGGGCGCAUAUACAAGCACCCACCCUCGCUGUAUGGUGGCUUGGGCUUGCCAGCGGCCUCCGCCUCCCGCAUCAGGGUUGCAUACACAGCUGGCCUGAACAGAGCACAAGCAGGAGGACCGUGAGCACACAAAGGAGAAGCAGGAAAACGAGUUAAAGCCAACCCGCGGUUUCCUGUGCAUUGCAGUAAACCUUGCAUCAUAUUGCUACCUCCUUCAACUGCGCCGGUCUACCUCGCUGAGCCCGCACCUGAACUGGCGCACGAUAAUCCAGGCGUCGAGGUCCUUGUGGUACAGAACCACGCCAACGGACGCGUGCGACUCAACCACGUCCCAGCGCCGCUCCUUUCCUGCACGUGUUGCAGUGCACAUUGUCUUGUGAGGCACUCAUGUUAUCAGAUGGCGAAAGCCCCUGCACCACCUUCUGCUGACCCCAUGCCUGACAACGGGUCCUCCUGGUCCCCACCUCGGAAGUUGUACAUGGCGGCCUUGGGUGUGAUGUACAUGCUGCUCUCCAGUGGCUCCAGCCGGAAGGAGCUCUCAGGCCCCAGCAUGUCCAAGGCCUCAACCACCGUCUGCCCUGUCACGUAUAGAUGGGGAUGUGUGUGAAUAUGGUUGUAUCCUAGCAUAAGUAGGACUUCAGACGUGAUAUUUGAGUGGUGCUUGCGUUUUAUGGGGCUGUCGGCAGACCACUGGUCUGUCGUGCCUUGUUUUGCGUGGGUGCUGCCGCCAAAAGACCUAAAAGUGGUGCUGUGUGUUGCGUUUCGGUGGGGCUUUGGCGGGCUUCGGCUUGGCUUCGACUCAUGUACGUAGCACUUUGAAGGUCGGCUGUCAACCAGGGGGUGGGGGUUUCUCUCUGGGCCGAAGAUGGCUCCUCGCGGCGUGGGUGCGGUGUGCCCCCGCUUAUCGGGCUGUCCCUUCAUUUGUAACUCGCAUCCAUAAGUAGGGUCGGUUAAGAAUCAGACUGCCUCGCAAAAUAAACGUUACCACACUGCUAGUUCUACGGGGUAGCUUUCUGGGUGUUUUACCUCGCCCGGUGUAUGGAUAUACCCUCUGGGAACCUGCUAGGUUGUCUCUAGCUUAUCCCUGCAUGCUCUGACCGGUAUCACAACAUGGGCAGGGUUGUUCUCUAGCGCAACCAGUUACCGUUACAGCGCACCAUGAAUAAUGGUACGUAUCAUUUCAAGCUACGGGAUUGUGGAUAUGUGUAUUCCUGAGACAUAUGGGGCCAUGGUGCAGCACGGUGCCCUGAUGCGCUGACACAGCGCUGAAGUGGUCAUCUGUGCCUGCGUAAACUAACCCCGGCUUAUCCGGGAGCUCAGGUAGUCUCGAAUCCUUUGGCCUCAAAGGGCGCGAUGUGGUCUGGGCUGAGCCCACUUUUCCCAUGCUUCAGGCGUCAAAGGAAAAAGGGUGGGCACGCUGGGAUACAGCCGAUAAGAGGGGAUAGGACAGGUUGAUUAGGCGCACACAUAUCUGCUGCAAAGCAUGUACUUUAACAUGCAGCACUUAUUCCAUGCUUCAUCCGUGCUAUGCAUGCUUCCAUUGCAUCUUGUUUUUUAUCUCCGCUCGGACGGCUAGGUGCGAGUACAUGCAUGAAAAGCGCACGCCAUGGAUGCUACCCCGAGUGAGGCCCAUUCCUGGGCCUCCCUUCACUGCGUGGGCCCCGCCCACUGCAGCCAACAAGCUUUCCUGCUGCCCACUGUUUCCACUGCCCACAAACGUCUCCCCCGUUCUACCUGUCUCUCUGCAGCGACCAUCACUAUCCCCGCCUCUCCACAGUGCUCGGGCUGGCAUAGACUCUGCGGCCGUGCGUCUCGCCACGCCACUCACCCGGUGUGAGCGUCUUCACGCCAUACGGGUACAUAUUUGGAUACUUGAUUGGCCCGGCCAUUUCUGCAGCAGCCGAGCUCGCUUUGCAAGCAAUGCGCCUCAACCCAGAGCGGUGCGUCAGUGGGGCGCGAAGCGAGAGCAUCAGCAAGGGGUUUUAUUGCGCCCGCACGCUGAUGACUAUAAGCGAAGAUGUUAUCAAAAUAAGCAAUGCGAUGCGUUGAUGUGUCAAAUGACUUGACAAGCACGCGGAGACUGGAGACCGUCAGGGCUAGUCUGGGCCCAAUCUGCACCUCAUCCGGACGUCUUUGAAUGAGGAGCUUCACGGAAUGUUGCGGUCGUACUGCAUCUAUGAAUAGCUUAUAACUGUUCUGCAUACACUCUUGAAGCAGCCUUGCUCCCUGGCACAUGCGGUUUGAUAUUAGCGUGCAGCACAGCGGAGCUCGCUGCCAGCCUAAGUAUGUUUGGGCCGGACGCUCGUCUCGCAAUCAACCGGGAGCCGGCGCCGGUGAGCGGGAAGCAGGACAGUGUCAAGCACCCACCCGAGGGCUGUGUGCUGCGGCCGUGUGCUGCGGCAGAGCUGCGGGGCCCUUUGCUAGUGCCUUGCAGGUUUGGUACCAACCGAACGCUUACACCUGGGAUUGUAGGGAGAGAUACAUGAGCAGUAGACGCAGGAGUUGGACGCAGGUUGCGCCCGCCACUCAUGGGUCAACCAGCCUCACCUGUACUUCCAGCCACAACCCAGCCAGAGCUUGACCGGUGUCCUCCCAAGCACGCCAGCAUGACCUGCGACCCUCCGCUCUUGAACUUUGCAUCCUGCAGCUGCCCAACGAGCAGUCCCUGGUGGCUGAGCUGCGUGCCAAGCUGGGUCCCGGCCCGGACCAGGACAAGAUCCUGUUCAGUAUCCGCAGCGCCCGCGGGAAGACGCACUGGGCUGUCAACAGCUAUCUGCGGGAUAUCAUGUCGGCGGGGUGCGUGCCGGGAGAGGAGGACUUCCAUCCGGGGCGCGCCCGUGUGCAGACCAGUGGCGCGGCAGGGCCGACGGCAGUGGCGUCGACUGCAGAAGGUCAAACAGCAGACGACCCCAUGCCGCAGUCGCCGGACCUCACUGACGAGUCAGCGGCGCACUUCGCCGAGCGCUCCGGCCUAGACGCACUUCCCUCCUCGGUAUUGGAGCUGGUGCUGAAGCACCUGGACUACACCUCCCUGUGCGCGGCCGCCCUGACCUGCAAGGCGCUGGCGGCAGUGAGUGGUCGGGGCUGGGCCCGGUACUAGGCUGCGGCAUUGGAAAUGAUUGAUUGGACAUGUGAGAUGCCGCUUGGCUCGCUGUCAGCAGAUACCUUACGCAGUAUGUACGUGCUUGGCAGCGUUUGGUUUCCCUAUGCAAUUGUAGUCUCAGUAAAACGUUUUUAGUAUGUUUUCCCUUGCAAUCGGCAAACAGGUGGCAGCGUCCGAUGCGCUGUGGAGCAGCCUGUUUGCGGCACGCUGGGGCGCAGUGGUAUUUCCCACGGAGGCGUACCUGGCCAUGGGGGCGGCUGGUGGCGGCGUCGGGGCCGGUGCAGGUGGCUGGCCGGGCGCCGGUGCAGGCGCCUGGCCGGGUGCCGGCGUGGGACCGGCGGCAGCAGGUGCAGCAGCGGCUAUGGCCGCUACUGGCGGCACUGGGCCGGGCAUAGCGCUGGCUGGCCUUGCGCUGUGUGAGCCCGACAGCCUCCCGCAUGCAACAGUGGAUGGCGCAAAGGCAGCGGGGGAGCCGGGGCCCGGGAGCAGACCCGGCGAUGGCUUGCGGCAGAGCGCGCUGUUUCGACUGGGCUCAGGCCUUGCGCCAGUACGGGAGGACAGCACGCCGCCGCCUGCUCAGCGUCAGCAGGCGCCCCUAUCUGCUGCCUGUACGCCUCGGUCUGUUGCGGGCGCCUUCAGCCGUGUAGAUACGCUUCAGAAGGCGCCGACAGAAGCCUGUCCCAUUGCCUCCAGCUCCGCGCAGGUCAGCGAUGCAGGUGUCACCGGUAGUAAGCCGCACCAGGCAGCUACUGGGGGUGCUAGCAUGGGUAGCACCGUUCCAGCCGCUACCGGGGUAUCGGGCAUGGGCAGUACUGGCAGCAGAAGCAGCUCCCCAGACGGCGACAGCAGCGCUCGGCGGCGAUACCGGGACCAGGUGGCGUUCCUCAAGUCUCUGCGCUGCCCACGGUGUGGCGGCGCAGCAUUGCUGCCAAUCCUGUACGGCUUCCCUUCAGCCAAGCUGCUGGAGGGCAUGAGGUCCAAACGGUGAGUCCUAGUAACCGGGUUCACUUGGCAUGCUUGGGUGUACCAUGUGCCUUUUUACAACACGGUGUCGGUGUUUCCUUCACAGCGCCUCCAUACUCGUACGUCACCAACACCACCUCGUGUCUUGCCUCAUGUGCACUCAAAUGCUACAAGGUUCUACAAAUAUGCACUAACAAUGCCAUACUCACGCUGCACUACGCAACCCCCGCAUAAACAGGCUGAUUCUGGGAGGUGACCACCUCAUAGAGAGCUGUCACGUGUGGGGGUGCCCAAACGACCGCUGUGGUGCGAGCUACAGGUUGGUUGCCCCCGGGAUUGGCAGAAAGCGCGGUUUGCAAAGUACAUGACCUUACACACACGCCCGCCUUUCCUCGCACACUCCUCCAGGUUCUUCCCGUAUGACCGUGUGGAUGAAUGGAUGACGGACCUGGCCAAACCGCAGCCAGCCGGCCCCCACUACACCUAUGAGCUUUAGUAAUGAUGCAAUGUCACUUAUACCACUUGACGUUUGUAGUUGUUUCAACAGCAGUCAUGGGCAGAGUGGUUUUCAGCAGUCGUCAGCGUGACGUCAACUCCGCAACCAACAUCCGGCACGCGCUGGUGGAGAUGCUGCUGGGGCACAAGCGACCUGCAUCGCUGCAGACUGGCGGCGGCAGCGGCAGCGGUGGCUGCGGCAGCGGCGGCGACGGCGGUGGCGGCGGCGGCAGCGGCGGCGGCGGCGGCGGCGGCGGCAGCGGCGGCGGCGGCGGCGACAGCAGCGGGGGCGCGUGCGCGCAUCUUGGUAGCGGAGGGGGCGGGAAAGGCCACGUGGAGGAGGAGAGCGCAGCGCCGCCCAAGAAGCGGCGCAAGCGCGCAGUCUGAGGAGCCGGCUGGUGUCCAGGUAGCGGUCCGCGGUGGGGCUGGCAGGGCAUGCGUAGCGGCAUGACAAGUAGUGCGGCUGUUGACAACUGUGCUGCAUCUGGCUGAGGUUGGCUCUGCUGUGGCAUCACGAUUGCUAGGCCCUGGUUUGGCUAUGUGCCUGUGGAAACCGACCCCGGCUAUGUUCAGGCGAUGAGGUUGUUCGGCCUCAGACUGUGGAGGCUGUGGAGGGGCUCAGCCCCUUUUUCCGUGACCGGGGAACACUUGUCAGCAGUCGUGGACUGAGCACUUGCAAUGGACGUCACCCGUGGAAAUAUGCAGCAUGCAUACAUGGUUUCAAGCUUCUUGUGGACAGUCGCAGCGGGUUUUGGUCGACUGGGGCAGGGUGGGGAGCAGGGGAGGAACGCGCUACACACUAUAGGAGGAACGACUGCGUCGGUCCAGGCUUGCAUCGUGCUGGUAGCCCAUGCUGCACGUAUAGAGUGCUGUCUGCAUGCUGUGUCUACCGUAGUGUCGCUGCUACGGGGAUCACUGCCCCUGCCAGUAUCCGUCACGUAUGGGCUCCUACUGCCUUCUGACACAAGUAAUCAACCAAACAAAUCGCAGCCCGAGUCAUGGCUACAUGGCGCAGCACAAAGCCAUUGUAACCAACUGUAUCGAUGCAUGAACUUGAUUAGACACGUUGCAGUGAACGCAGCCCACACUGGUAGCUUGGAAUGGCGGCCACGCCAUUGCAACCACGGACUGUGCCUGGGACCAAACAGACAUUCAUGUUGGUUUAUGUUCUGGGUUAAGGGCAAGCCUGCGUCUCGUGCGGCACAUUGGCACCCCUGCCACGCCCCAAACCUUACGGCUGCCUUAUCCUGGCAUUCAUGCUUUCCAAACUAUGCCUGCGGCGGCCCAGUGGUGUUGCCAGCCGCCAUGUUUAAGCAUCCACUCCCCAUUAACGUUGCACCACACAGCACAUCACCACCAGCUGCUGGCCCGCCAGCAGCCGGGCCGCCACCAGCCCCGCUGCCACCUCGAAACGCAUGUCGCUGCAAGUGCAGAACAUGACAGGUAGUGGAUAAGCAGGGGGCCACAGCUGAGUCAUGCCGGUAUCUGGGGCAUGUGCCUUGUGCAGGCAGGCACACGCGUGGAAAGCCUGUGCUACACAACUGCAUGAGCAACCACAUGCUGGAAUCACCACGCUGCUCUACCAGACACCGCGGCCUUCUUAUCUUCUUUUGGUCUCUGGGUUAACGGGGUCCUCGCCCCUCCUCGUCAGGUGCCGCGCCCCACCCGCACAGAGUGGCCACCGCCUACUGACCGGACCGCCUGCGACCCCUAUGCGUUUAGUCACCUGGUGUCGGUGGAACUGCUCUACACUCCAAGCCGCCCACCUGGGCGCUUCCUCCAGCAGCAGCCGUUUGAAUCCCAGCCGCUUGUAGAAGCGCAGACGCGACUCGAUGGUUGUGAGGUACACCGCCGUGCCGGGUGCCAGGCCCUCCAGCUGUGUGGACACCAGCCGGCUCCCCAGGCCUCGUCCCCUAGUAGUGGGGGCGGUGACAGCGAAGUGAGGAAAUUGUCCACGCCCUUCCAGCAAGAGCUCUGUAACCGUUGUUGCCAUGCCGCGUACCUGAACGAGGGCCGGACCACCAGCGUGCGAAGCUCUGCGGAGCCAGGCGCAGCUAGCGGUACAGUCUGCACAAUACCUACGAUGCCCUCAGCUCCUGGCGCUUCUGCAAUUGUAAAGCGAAACGGGUCUAACCCCAAGGGGUUGAUCUGUUGCAAGAAGUAAUGAGAUAUGAAUUGGUUAGGCACUCUGGGAUGCAAACGAAGUGUAGGGGGCCAAGCGUGGGGGCCAAUGCAGCAACCGCCGGUAGCUCCCCCUGCCGGCAGCUGUUGGCUAUGCACUGCGUCUUUGCGUGCGCGCUGCGGGGCUCAUGCCGUGGUGUCACCCAUGCCGCCCUUCAGUGCCACCACCUUGCCCCAUUGCCGCCCACGAGUUUGAUUGCUCGUAGACUUGGCUGCAUCUGCGGGGGCUUGGCUAGUGAGCCGCCCCGGUGUGCCGCUGCGACAGGUGCGCGCUGACUGCUUCUUCUUGGGUUCGCCGCGCCGCGGCAAAAGAGCGGCCCUCUCAGUCUACGGCACUCCCAUACCCUUACCUUCUCGGACAGCACAAAUGAAACAAUGGAGUUUGCAUCCCUCUGUGCUCCGGGGCGGAGUCGGAUGCUGUCGAGGGACGGCCCCUCAGGAGCCGGCGUUGGUUGGCUGGGGCGUGCCCGUACCAUUGUUCGCAGGCGCGUGGGCAUUUGCUGGCAUCCUCUGCCAAAAUAGCUAUGAGUCAGUAAGUUUCUACGCGCCAAGCAGUUGGCGGGGACAGGUGGGCCCAUCUUCCACUGCCGUCUCACGCAAGGGCAGCGAGCCACGGAGGCUUGAUAAUGCAAUUCAAAUUCUGCGUGGACCUUGGUUGGUGCAGGCCGCGACUGUGGAACUUCACGGGGCACGGGUACAUGCUUGAUGUACCAUUGGUCCAUUGCGGUCAAAUGGCGCGGACCCCUUGAUUGGCGUAUUGCACAGAGCCCUUACUCUGGGCCUCUGUCCUCUUGUCCACAUAAGCUGAGCUGUCCUUCAAGUGGGAGCGGACCAGAAGUUUGAUUGACACCAUUUCGUCAGUGACAGCAGCUCUGCAGCCUCACGACGUAACCAAUCUGGUCGUCAUAGUCACUUUUGCUUUGUAGAGUUCCAAGUGGGGUGAGUGGGCGUGAAGCGAGGAAGCGAGCGGCGCCCAGAACAGUCGCUUUCAUAGCUGCCUGCUGAUGAUGCUUUUUCUUUUAUCACUACCAGCUGUCUUACAUAUGCAUGAUGUGUGAUAGUUGGUCGUGCGGCCUCUAUUUGAGAGCCCUUGGAUGCUCUGACCCGCGCCCCUCUGCGGCUGCUCCUUUUGCAGUGUGUGAAGGAUGAACGCGACAGGUCUUUUGAACGAUGGCCUUGCCUCACUUGGAAUGAGCGGCUUUGGUGACAACCUCGCCUCCGGUCCUGCGCUUGUUGCUGCUGGAGGCGCUCUGGCGCUUGGCUACGCGCUGUGGGAGCAGAUGAAGUUUCGUUGGUAUCGUUCCGACAAGAACGGCAAUAUGCUGCCAGGUGCGUGGGUCGCUGAUCGUCAACCCGCUCCGGGCCCGCCGAGAAGUGCGUGAGAAGGGGCCCCCUGUUCGCGCAUCAUCAAGGAAACAUACAUAUAUGACACAAUUGCUUUCCUCGUUUCGGAAAGCCCAGAGAGCGGUGUCUGGGCACACUUAGUGUGGAUGUGGGGUCAACCACACGCGCGCGGUGACUCCUGGGCAGGGCCGGGCCGCUGACGUCGUGCAGUAAUGCUCCCACGCAAGGUUACGGUGUGGGAUUUGAACUUCAGCACAGGCCGCGCCAUUCGGGACAAAGUCUGACUGGCAGGUCAACGCUGGCAACAGUACCGGCCAGUGUACGGCCGUGUCAUACGCAACCCCGCCGGUUCACUGACUUGGACUGGCGCCGCUUGCAGGCCCCGCCAGCGUGACCCCCAUCAUUGGCGGUAUCGUGGAGAUGGUGAAGGACCCGUAUGGCUUUUGGGAGCGCCAGCGCCUUUACAGCUUCCCCGGCAUGUCCUGGAACUCGAUUGUGGGCAUCUUCACGGUGUUCGUAACGGACCCCGCCCUCAGCCGCUACGUGUUCUCGCACAACAGCAGCGACUCCCUGCUGCUAGCGCUGCACCCCAACGGUGAGCGGUCAGCACGCAUGCCACUCAAAUGUUCAAGAAGCACACUGUACGUUUCAGGGCCUGCCUGCGCAGGCUAGCCGAGUCAAGCUAGCAAAGCCUUCCGUAUUCAGCUGUGCGCUUUCUUGUUCACGUAUGCGUAGCUGAGUGGAUUCUGGGCAAGACCAACAUCGCCUUCAUGUCGGGGCCGGAGCACAAGGCGCUGCGCAAGUCGUUCCUGGCGCUGUUCACGCGCAAGGCGCUGGGGCUGUACGUGCUGAAGCAGGAUGACGUCAUCCGCAAGCACUUCAACGAGUGGAUGCAGGUGGGCGGCCGCCGGGUGCGGGGCGCGCACGGAGCCAGAGAGGUCAUAUCGGAGGGCGCACAGGGGCGGGGCACAGAUGGCCAGCUGACUUCUGGCGUCACUUGCUGCUCUUGUCAAAUUGCUGCAGACCGCGGGCCCUCGCGAGAUCCGGCCCUUCAUUCGCGACCUGAACGCCUACACCAGCCAGGAGGUGUUCGUGGGUCCCUACCUGGACGAUCCCACGGUGAGAGCCUUGGGCCGCGGCACGUGGGGUGAGGGGCAGUGCGACAGCGCCACUGGGGGCAGCUGAAACAGCCGCAUUGGUGGGCCGUGAGUGGCUGCUAUCUGUGUACAUGGGUCUCAAGUACAAGGCGUGGACAGAUUCCUGGCAAUUGCUGUUACGUAUUGGAUCCUGGUUCAACCGUGUAUUAACGCGGCAGCUAUUCCUAUCCAAUCGAGCUUUGCUGGAGGACCGCGGCUUAAGGGUUGCCCAACCUGUCAAUGCAGGAGCCCUUGACCUUGUGGCAGCACAAUGCCGGUCUUGUCACUCUCAAUCGUACGUCCGUUUGCAUUCUGAUGUCCACAGGAGCGCGAGAAGUUCUCAGACGCCUAUCGGGCCAUGACGGACGGCUUCCUGGCCUUUCCGCUGCUGCUGCCCGGCACCGGUGUGUGGAAGGGCCGCCAGGGCCGCCAGUUCAUUGUCAAGGUGGGCCGCAGGAGUGUUCACAGGGGUUACUGCGUAUGGCAGCGCAUGGUGGCACGGAGCCUAGGAAGGCGAUGGUUGCGGCUUUACGGGUCGCCUCCAAGAGGUUGUUUGGCAACCCCCAAUCAGUCGAUGCAGUUCUCUGCGCCAUGCUUGCAACCUGCUGUCACAGCGGUGCCUGAAUCAACGCGGCCCGCGUACCUCUCGCAUUGCACAGACGCUGACCCGCGCCGCCGCGCGCAGCAAGGUCCGCAUGGCCGCGGGCCAGGAGCCGGAGUGCCUGCUGGACUUCUGGACCAAGCAGGUGGGCGCGGCCCGCCCGGGUAUCACUUACAACUGGGCGCUCACGGAGUAGACAUGCACGGUACUCAGUCAGUGUGGAGGGAUGCGAAGCGCACGCGCGCUCUCCGAUGCCGGUCUGUGUUGCGCACGGCUCAUUUGAAGGUUUUAAGCUUGCAUGGGGUUGAGGGGUCAGUCAGUACAACAGCACAUUAAGCGCCUGGAGCAGCCAACCUCGCAUCUUUCCAUGUGCGCCCUGGUGAUCGCCCUAAUGCGACUAUUGCUCUGCGGCCAUCAUCUAUACAGAUUCUGUCUGACAUCAAGGACGCAGCCGACGCGGGCCAGGAGGCGCCCUUCUACGCGGACGACAAGAAGAUUGCGGAGACGGUGAUGGACUUCUUGUUCGCCAGCCAGGACGCCUCCACCGCCAGCCUGGUGUGGACCAUCACGCUCAUGGCGGAGCACCCCGAAGUGCUGGCGCGGGUGAGAGCUGGUGGCGGAGGGAUGCCAAGUGGAGGCGUAGCGGCGGCAAGGGCGAAGUCGUAAAGGGAGGGCACCUGACUGACGUAAUGCUUGCCCAGCAAGCUCCUGGCGAGUUGGGUGGUGGGGCAGUUGGUGCUAGUCGCGCGGGGUUGCGCGUUGGCACAUGGGCGUCUUUCUGACAUGUGCGAGUGGACUGGUCCGGCCGCCCUUCCGCUGUGUGUUCACGGCACAUGCUACCGGUUUGCUCCACUGCCUUGUUCAUUCCCUAACCCAACGGCCCGUUCUGCCCCUGCCCCUUUCAUCCUGCAUCCCUCAGGUCCGCGACGAGCAGUACCGCCUGCGCCCCAACCCCGAGGAGAAGGUGACUGGCGACAUGCUGAACGAGAUGCACUACACGCGCCAGGUGGUGAAGGAGAUUCUGCGCUUCCGGCCCGCGGCCCCCAUGGUGCCCAUGCGCGCCAAGGCGCCCUUCAAGCUGACGGAGACGUACACGGCGCCCAAGGGAGCGCUCAUUGUGCCCUCGCUGGUCGCUGCCUGCAAGCAGGUGGGCGCCGGGGCGGGUUGUUGCACCAUAUUACGAGGGGCGGUGUGGAAGGACUUGGAACAGGUCUAAGCUGUUGACAUUGGGCCGAGUUUCAGGAGUUGGAAAUGACGGUGCAGGCGGUCGCAGCCGCGGUGCGACAUACAGCCUUCCAACGGUACGGCAGUAGUCCUCGCGCCCAUGACUAACGCACUGCUGGCACGGUUAUACAUACACAGGGCUACUCGAACCCCGACUCGUUCGACCCGGACCGGUUCUCGCCCGAGCGCGCCGAGGACAUCAAGUACGCCUCCAACUUCCUGGUGUUCGGACACGGGCCGCAUUACUGCGUGGGCAAGGAGGUGCGUGCGGCGUAGGGCUGGUGCAAUCGUACUGCGAAGUGACAGCAGUCACCAGGACGCAACCUGCCGUUUUCCGGCUUGCGUAAUGAACUUGACUGCUGCAUCAAUGCUGCGGCCCCCCUCUCAACUGCCGCCUCCUCACUCGCCUCCUGCCUCCGCAGUACGCCAUGAACCACCUGACUGUGUUCCUGGCGCUGCUGGCCACCAGCCUGGACUUCCCGCGCAUCCGGUCCAAGGUGUCGGACGACAUCAUCUACUUGCCCACCCUGUACCCCGGUGACAGCAUCUUCGACCUCAGCUGGAGUGCCAAGAAGUAAGCCGCGGGCUAUCAUUGCUUGACAGACAGCUAGCGGCUAGCUGCAUGGAGUUGUGAAGUGCUAGAAGGCGAGGUGUCGCGGCAGGCAGGCGGCAGUGGUGUCUGGCGUUCGAGGUGCGGAUUUUGCAUUGUACCGCCGGGGGCAGGUCCUCUUUUGUUGUGUGGAGUUAGUGUGACGUUUUAAGGGUUUGCGUUGUAUGUAUAGCCUUGGAGCUGGGGGCAGGGGAAGGGGUUUGUUGUGCCCAUGCCCAUGUGCCCAUGCGACUGUAUGCGGUUGUUAUUUAUCCCCAGACCGAUUGCUAUGCGUGCACGCAUGUUUGUGCCUGCCACUAGUGGCUGCCUUGGGCUGGCUUUCAGUGUGCUCUUGUGCGUGACGAAAUGGAGAAACUCGUGCAUGUGCUGAAACCUCGAUGUUGUGGGGCCGUCCACGCGCUUGGGCAGUGGCUUAGCUGACAAUGCUGGCGAUAACGUUGACGAGUAUUUGUUAUGUUGUAUAGGCCCUGUUGACAAGGGCACUACAAGAGGAUACCGUAAAUUACAUAGCAAUGAUGAGCGGGCGCAGGCCCAUGAACCGGAAGGUGGCUGAUGCGGUUAAUGUUGGCUGUUGGUGGGCCGCUGUAAAGCAAUGACGACUGGAGGGCAUCCUACACAUGUAUCACAGGCCUAACAGCCCGCAGAACAUACGGUACACUCGAAUACUCCCCGCCCAAAGUAGUGGACCAGUCAGGGCAAACUGGGACAGUGUACGGUAUCCCCGUGAAGCAUGCGGGGAAGUCUGCAUGGCGUGGCUUGGCCGGGCGACCGAGGAGAAUGCAGUCAACAGGACAGUACCGUACCGCUACACUCGAUUGGUGAAAGACUGGCACUGACGUCAACUCCGCAACCGACAUUCGGCACGCGCUGGUGGAGAUGCUGCUGGGGCACAAGCGACCUGCAUCCUGCCCCUUGCCAUGUUCCAUUACGGGCAGCGGCGGCAGCGGCGGCAGCGGCGGCAGCGACGGCAGCGGCGGCGGCGGCCGCGGCAGCAGCGGGGGCGCGUGCGCGCAUCUUGGUAGCGGGGGCGGGCGGGAAAGGCCAUGUGGAGGAGGAGAGUGCAGCGCCGCCCAAGAAGCGGCGCAAGCGCGCAGGCUGAGGAGCCGGCUGGUGUCUAGGUAGCGGUCCGCGGUGGGGCUGGCAGGGCAUGCGUAGCGGCAUGACGAGUACAGUAGUGCGGCUGUUGACAAGUGUGCUGUCUCUGGCUGCGGUUGGCUCUGCUGUGGCAUCGCGAUUGCUAGGCACCUGGUUUGGCUAUGUGCCUGUGGAAACCGACCCCGGCUAUGUCCAGGCGACGAGGUUGUUCGGCCUCAGACUGUGGAGGGGCUCAGCCCCUUUUCCCGUGACCGGGGAACACUUGUCAAUCUGGUAAUUGCUAAUACCAAGGCACCGCCUGUAUAGGCGCAGUACGGUGAUUGUUUUUUGUCUGUGGGAAGCACUCCGAUGGCACCUUCGGAGGCAUUCGGAUCCAGUCUCACCAGUCACGACCUUGAUUCCCAGUUGCCUGCACACGGCUGCACACGGCUUGACUCUGCGCAUAUACCGUAGACACCGCGGCAUAUCCUUGCACUUCACAUUUGCACGUAGCACUAUAACACUGUAGGUGGUCUACACUAUAGCAUUCGGCUAUCUGUGAACGCCACACACGUCACGCAGUAAUAUGAGCACCCGACCGCUGCACCCUCAGCACAAGACUCCGCAAACCGCCCCUGGUCAACUGUACCUCUGUACUGAACAAGAAAAGGUGGCUCUCCCUUGCAAGGGAAAAGUGGGCUCGUCUCCCGGACAUCUCCAGGCAGGCAGGCAGGCAGGCAGGCACGGACAGGGGCAAUCCUGGCUGGCUUGGCCCCCCCUGGAUCGCUGGGGGGCUCAGCUCAAAAAACUAAAACAUCCAACCUCUUUACUGCAAAAUUUGCUAAGGCAAGCUCUGACCACUGACCACGUGCACGACGCAGGGUCGUGACAGGUGCUGGAGCUUACGCUGCAUCAAGCUAACUGCCCGCUGUCGCUGCGCCAGCCAGGACAACACGAAUCAGUUCACGCAGAUCAUCCGCACCUUUGCAGUGCCACGCCGUGUCGCAUGAGUACGGUUCCCAGGGUUCCUACCCAAAUCAUUAGUAACAGUUGGGACAUACAAUUUUUGCCUCGCGGCUCAAUAUCGUCCUUCCACAUCAAUAAAAGGAAUUUAUCAAGAAAAGUAAUCUCAUUUGGUCCUGGUCCUAUUGCAAGGCGUGCAGGUGGACGGACCUGCACGCCUUGGUCCUAUUGCAAGGCGUGCAGGUCCCGGAAAAGCCUUGCCUAAAGCUGUGCCGCAAGUAGCUAUCAAGCUGCGUCGGCUGCCAUGCCUAGCUCCUAACCAGGCUGCAUCAUGCCUACUGCGGCUGCUGGGGCCGUGCCGUCAUCUCCAAGACAACGUGGUCCGCCGCCGCGCUGGCCCCUGCGCCGCCCUCUGCCGUCGAGCUGCCGCCCACUGACGGCUCCGGCCGCCGGUCAGUCAUGGCGCCCGAGUUGCUGUGGCUGGUGUCGUGUGCGUCAGCGCCACCACCAGCUGAGUUGCGGCCAGCGGGCAUGAGUGAGCCCAGGGCCGCCAUGGCCAUGCGGGCGGGCAUGGCACGGCGCACCGCCGAGGCCGCUGAGGCGCCAGUGGCUGCUGCACUGGCCAGCGGCUCCUUCCGGUUGCUCAGCUUGGCUGCAGCCAUUGUGGCCGCAGCUGCAGCCGCAAAGCUCUUGCCAUCCCGCCGCGCCGAGCCGUUCCGCUCCACGGUGUGCUGCUGCAGUGGCACUCCCAGUUCCUCGGCCACGGUCUGCAUGUGGUGGACACGGGAGGGGGGUUGGCACGAUGUCGAAGGCAAUGAAGGCACUUAAUGACAUGAUUGGCCUCAUCGUUGUCCAUGCCGCUGCCUUAAGACUAGGCUGCUGACGCGCACGCCCUCGGACGCUUUACCUUAUUGUCGUUCUCAUGCUUGCUUUUGCCCUUGCUUUUGAUCAUCUUGCUCUUGACAACUGAGGACAUGGGUAAUGCAAAAGUUGUGAAACCAUGAAUGGCCAUGCUUUUGGGUGCAAUGUAGCAAUUUCAUGCUGUAAACGGUGCCCAUGCCUGUGCCCCACCUCACCCACACACACCACACAUUCGUAGGCCUAUUUGACAAUCUGAGCACCGGCAUCCCGUUUCUCUAUAGGCAUGACUCACAGUUCUUGACCACGCCGCCCAAUCGCGUGCGGCGCUUGGACUUGCCCGCCUCGCCGCCCAGAGUCUCGGCCGCAUCACGCAUCCGUUCACGCACCUGUGAGUUGAGGAUGUGAAAAGUAUUGUUAGUAACAAUCGCGGUAACAAUGAGACGAUUGUCACCCGCAGAGAUCACACACGUGUGCCGCCGCAAGGCCUGGCGGCCCUGCAACCCCACACAAGCGCGCCCCAGCCCCGCGCACCUCCUCGGCGAUCUCUUGCGCCUCCCGCUGCAGCUCAAACCGCUCCUCAUUCAGGCCGCCAGACUCCCCGGCAGCAUGAGCGGCGCUCUUGAUGGUCUUCAGCCGGUUCCUAAUUUCGCGCAGCUCAUGUAGCUUGCGCUCCGUCCAGGUUUGCAGCAGCAGGCGCCGCACAGCCGUGGUCAUGUACCUGCACGGUGCCGGGCGUCAUCUGAGUCGGUGGGUGAAGGCCCAGCAUGGAUAGUGCUGGUUUUGGACCAUCCCUACUCUCGCCGCAAGAGGCGCGGACAAAGGCUGCAUGAGGCGCCCUUCGUAUCCCUCUCAAGAUUCCAAAGCCCAGGCACGCACAUGGCCGAGUAGUACUGAGCGGCGUUGUGGGUGGGCGCUCCGUCAAAGUCAGGCGGGAUGUGGGGCACGAGCUGGUCGUGCAGUGGGUCCUCCUGGUCGGCGGGCACGUCUGUGCCAGCCACGCGGCCAGACAGUGCGUGAAGCACCUGGGUGCGGUGAGGUUGUGGCAUGGAAAGGGCUCAGUACACAGACAUCAAUCAUCAGCAGACGCAUAAGGCGUCAGCAAACACAACCCAAGGCCUGGCAGCCCAAGGUCCCAAGGCGCGCACCUCGUAGAACUGCACGCAGCGGCUGCGGAUGGGGAUAUUGGUGGACAGCACGAUCUCUUGCACUCGCAGCAUCUGGCUGUCCAGCUUCUUGACGCCAAGCGGCUUGGGCAAGCGCAGCAGCAGCGAGGUGAGCGCGGAGGCGGGGAUGAAGCCGGAGCCGUGCGGGUCCAGGUCCUCCCACACCUCUGUAAAGGUGUGCAGUGUGGAGGGGCCCACGGGCAGCUUCUCCUGAAAGGCCGUGUUCUGAAUGUUGUCAAUGAUGAUACCGAUGAUCAUCUGCACGGGGCAGGAAGAACGUGCAGAGGAAACGGGCGGUCAGGGCGGGGCGAACGUAUCCGUGACACAAGUUCACCUACAUGUACGUUGUAUCUGAAAACCCCUUGCAUGGGCCUGGUGAAAGCAAGCAGCGUGAAACGCUGCAGCCCAUUAGCAGUAAGCAUUUCCGCGCAUUGCUUUCCGAUUUCCAUGGGCCCGAAGCGAGGAAAUCAUGAUGCCGGGGCAGCCUUACAGAGCAGCCGGCGCCUGAAGGCGCCGACCCCCCAACACGCCCUGUACUACCGCCUGACCCCCACCUGCAGCAGCAUGAAUGUGAUGAUGAGGAUGUAGGAGAAGAAGUAGAUGAUGGCCACCAGUGGGUGCGGGCUGCACUGGUUGGUCUUGUAGUCCUGCGGCACGCCCUCAAGCACCGGGUCAUCAAAGUCGUAGAAGUCGCCCGGGUUUAGAACAACAGGGUCGCCAUCGGCAUUGGUAGUGUUGUAGGUCUGGUCGAUCCGCACACACUUAUCAAGCUGCAUGCAGUCUGCCAUCACGCCGUUCCUGUGGAUCGUCAGCGCAUUGGGAACGGGCGGGUUCAAGAAUGGUACACACGCCUGCGCCGCACACACAUGGGCACAGCCGCGCUAUGCAAACACAGUAGGAGACACGCACAACAACACAUACGCACGCACGCACAUGCACACGUGCAUCCACGCUGCGUGCAACGUUGACCGCGCUUAAAGCAAUCUGAUGCCCACGCUCAGCACGCAUUUUACAGAUGCCCUAAAUGACUUGCUUCCCCCCGGUACCCCAACAGUCUCUGUACGCCCCAUCUAGGCCUAGUACAGCUGGAACAAUUCAAGUACUCACCAGUUCUCUCCAGUCAUAAGCCUGCAGUGCAUGGAAGGAUAGGAUUGUAGUGGGGAUGUGGGUGAAGGCCGGUAGGUGGGGCGCAGACAACAAUGGGCACACCAAUAACUCAGGGGCCCAAGAGCUUCCCCCACUCUUUACAAUCACCUGAAAAGCGUCAGGAAUGCCAGCGGGAAGGUGCGGAAGCUCACGUACGGACCCAGUUCACCGGCGUUGUCCUCGCGAAUCAUUCCAAACAGGUUCAUGCCAAUGAUGGCGUAGCUGCGGCAAGGGAGCAGCUAGGACACGUAAAUGCAGGUGUGACAUGAUAAAAGCAACACAGUGGCAGUGGCUCCCGAGGAGCUCAAGCCAGCCACCUGCUGGCCCCACACUCACACAAAGAUGAGAAGGAACAGCACGGAUCCGACAUUGAUCAGGGCGGGCAGCGACCACCAUAGCGUGGUCAGCAGCGUGCGCAGCCCCUUGAAGCGCGGGAUGAGGCGGAACAGCCUCAGCACACGUAGUGCGCGGAUGAUGGGGAAGAAGGUGAACACAGUGUCCGUCGCAAAGUCCACAAUCACACCGCCGAUACCGGCACACACCACCUGGAAAAGUCAAAGUUGUAUGUUGUGCAUGAGAGCAAGUCGUUAGGUCCGAACCAACAUGCACGUAAACCGCUCUCUGCAGAUUCUCACCCCGCCACACCGCACCCAACCCCGCUCCAUCCUCUGGCGCACCGUGAAAUCGAAGCAAUUCCAGCCGCUCUUGAAGUAGCCGUGCACGUCCAGCGCGAUCCACUUGAGCAGCAUCUCUAUCAGGAACACGAUGGUAAAGGCCAGGUUGGAGUAGGACACAAUGUAGGAGAACGUGGGCGCCAUGUCGGCGUGCACCAGCAGCAUGAAGCCGAUGGAGAUGACCACGAUGACCAUGAUCACGUCCUCAAAGAUCUGGUUCUGGGUCACUGCGGGGCGGGAGUGGAGAAUGCGGCGGGGGCUAAAUGUUUAAGUGUGGAUAUACCUAGUUUUAGAGGUGUUCCUUACGUUGCAAACAUACAGCUUUAGGGGCCCCACUGGACACACCCAUGCCAUGUAGAGGCCGUCGCUUAUAACCCGACUCCCCGGUCCUGGGCACGUGCGAGGAGGGCUCAGGCAGAGCGGGAUGCUUCACACAAGCUGUGGCAUUACUACUCACGGUGAUAAAAGAAGGCCCGGAACCUAUUCUCGGGUGGCACGUGGCGCCUGAGCGCGCGCAGGUUGGUGAGCAUCUUCUGGGUGGAGACCCAUGCCUCCUGCUCAUCGCUCAUGUGCGGGUUGCCGCCGUUGUUCUCGCGCCGCAUCUGAUUGAAUUUGUCGAUGGACACACCUGGCAUGGGGGAGCGAGAGUAAUAAGACAUGAAUAGGUGGGGUGAGUAGGUGGGGUUUCAGAGGGUUGUCCAUGUGGACGAAGAGACCAGCUGGAGUGCAUGCAAGGGCCAUGUAAACAAGAAUACUGUUUUAGGCUGUGUCCAAGGAAGCGCUUUCAAACCCUUGGAAGCCCUGUGCAUGCGAUGCAAUCACUCACCAAUAACCAGGUUCAGCAAAAAGAAGCCCCCAACGAUGACAAAAAUCACAAAGAACAGGCACACGGCGGGCGAGUUGUUGGUUAUGGGCUGCUGGUAGACCUGCGUGAUGUCGGCGCCCGUGUACAUGACGUCGGACCAGGACUCCAGUGUGGCCACCUGGAAUAGCGUGUACAGCGCCACAGCCAGGUUGUCAAAAUUGGUGCUGGGGUUGCUCCAGGUGGUGGUGAUGUUGUAGGCCGGGGGGCUGGCCAGGUUCCACAUGGAGUGGUAGGCGCUGGUGUUGAUGAGGAUGUCGCCGCCGCUGGUGGAGUCGCACCAGUCACGGGUCAUGGUGGUGUUGCGGGGCAGGUAGUAGUCUGGGUCCAGAGGAGUGUCCACCUGAGGGGGACGCAAGGGCACAGUGGGAUAUGCGUAGCAAGAUGGAUAGAACGCAUCGUGUUUCUACGUGUGUGCACAGUUACCGUACGCAAACGGGUGCCAGCAAAUAUAGGUGCAGUGGCAGCGCUGCCAAUCCUGUCAUUGCCACAAGUAAGUAGCUCCCCAAGGCCACUCUCGCUCCCUUACAUCGUCCAUGCUGCGGCAGCUCCAGAACUUCCCUCCGACAAUGUUAAUUGCCAGGAUGGCGAAGAUGAAGUAGAUGAGCAUCGCCACCAUGAACACAUUGCCCAGGGCGGGGAUGGCCUUGAGCAUGGCGCUCACCACCGUGCGGAUGCCUGUGUGCAGUGGCAGUUGGGAUGGGUUGCAAACAUGGUACAGAGGAGUGUAGCGAGGUAGACAGCAGGCGUAGGGGCGCGCGCGGGCUGGGUGCAUCCUCGGCGCAGUUUGGGGGUAAAGAUCUAACAAUUGCAGACACUUUUGAAUAGUCGUGAGGUGUGGGUGUGGGACUCCCGCGUUCGUGCCCAACGGAUGGUCCAAGGAAGAGGUGGACAGAGAGGCGGUUGGCAGCAAUGAGGCAGCCGUAUCAAGGACGCACGAGGUGUAUCAUUCGCACGGGCUGUGCGGCAGGCGCACGCAUGCGCAGCAGCAGGCACAUGCAUUGCUCACCGCCUAGCCUGUUGGCCGCACGCAGCGGGCGCAGCGCCCGCAGUGUCCGGAUGGCCCUCAGCCACAUGAUGUUGACGCCCUUGCUGAGGCUGUCUGUGAUGAGCACCACCACACCCGCAAUCACCACCAGCAGGUCCAUCACGUUCCAGGGCGAGCGCACGUACGAGCCAGCGCCGUUGAACAUGAAGCCCGUCACCACAAUCUGCGGAGGGUGGGGCCGCCAUGUGGCAGUAGGGCACGGCAGCAAUGGUGGACAUGCCGUACAUGGUAUGCAGGCGCACUGCCCAGGAAGCUGUACACAGAUACCACACGUGUAGUGGAGCCCAAGCACCGGCCGUCGCGCUGCUGGGCUGUGCCCACCGGCGCACAAAGCCCACCUUCAUGAUUGCCUCCACGCCGAACGCGAUGGUGAAGAUGUAGUCCAGGAUGACCAGCGCCUGCUUGAGCUUGGAGGCGGGGUCCAGCUGCGGCGUGUCCAGGCACAGCUGGAUGGAGGACAGCGUGAUGAUGAACAGCAUCAGCGUGUCAAACCAUUUGGCUGUCACGAUCUGCAACACAGCAAGCAGCGGGGCGCGGGCGGGCAGUCAGCAGCACACAAGGUCAACCAGCAGAGCUGGGCGAUGAGAGGUGCACAUGUGGCAGCGCUACGGUAUAUAUCACAUGCACACAGCAGUACAGCAGGGAUUGCAGGCGCGCUCGGAGCCACGCACCCGGGCGAAGAAGCGGCGGAUGCGGUUGCGCGGCGGGAACAUGAACAGGCUGCGGCCCACCAGCAUGUCGCCCAUGGCCACAUCGGGCUUGGCCACCACUGGGUACAGCGCGCCGCCCGUCAACAGCAUGUCCGUGCGCCGCUUGCUGUGGAUGGAGGGCCAGGCAAUCAGCACAGGAGUUGAGCUUAGCUCCUAGCUCAGUGCCUAGGUGCAUUCGCACUAGCCCACAACCGUUCCCGUACUCACGGCCGCACAAAGCCGCGGUGGCGGCCCCCGCCUAGCUCCGGCGGCAGCACGCCCUUGCCCUCGCGCUCCGGCUGGCCGCGGCGCUUGAGCUCCUCCAGGUGGUUACGCAUCUUCUCGGCCUGCAGCCGUGCAGCGCAUUGACAGAAGUAAGCGCCCUGAUUUACAGUGUCGUGUGCGGCUUGCUGCAAUACAGUGUGGCUAGAUUAGGUGUUCGUCUGCCCACAGAUGCGACUUUGAUAUGUCACUUAGCCACCCAGUCACCGAACCGCUCACCUUGGCCGGUAGCCCGCUGCCCAUCUGCAGCAUUGCAUCCUGCGCCACGGCCGGCGGCAGACCAGCCGGGUAGCGUGCGCCUUCCUGCGCCGUCUUGAAGUCGCGUGUGGCGAACAUGUAGCGCCCGUCCUCACGCAGCAUGUACAGCAUGGGCACAGCGCCGGGCGCGGCGCCAGCAGCUGUCGCAGGCAGGUCGACCAGGCCAGCCCCGUUUGUGGGUGUGGUAGAAUGCACAUGGGCGAGAACGGCAUGCCUGUCUCCCUGCACGUGCUGCUGCUUGCCGGCGUCCACUACAUGGGCGGCUGCGGGGAAGGCGCCAAUCAGUCGCGAUAGGGGGGCUGGGCUGGUCGUGUCGUCCAACACCAUUGCUGCCUCUGUGGCGUUCAACCGCGCCGCCAGCUGCGCCAACACGGCCGCUUGCGCGGCCCGUUCCUGCUCCUGGCCAAUCGCAAUGGCGUCCGCGGUGAGCAGGCGCUGGUGCUCUAGGGGCGCGGGCCGGCUGAGUGGCACGUAGAAGGAGGCGCCGCCCAGUGCCAUGACGCCGGCCAGUGGGUCGCCCAGCGGCACCACCACACUGCCGUCCGUGCCGUUGAGCCCAGAGUUGGACUGGCGCACGGGCGUAGUGUUGUGGUAGACGGGGUUGUUGACCAGGCCACCGCCAGCCCCUGUGGAGUGGCGGUGCCUGAAGCCGCCGCCAUUCUCACUGUAGCCGCUCACGCCGUCGUAAGCGCUGAUCCCACCCUCACCACCGCUGUCCACACCAUGGCUGUGAGUGCCCUCCCUGCCGUGGCCCUUGUCCUCGCCUUCUUUGACGGGGGGCGCGCAGCCCGCCAUCGCACGCAGCCGGCUCCACAGGCUACCAAGCGCCUCCUUCCCAGUGACCGCCACCUUGCCGACCGUGGCUGCAGCCGCCACCUUGCCCAGAUCUGCUACCUUGCCCAACGCAUCAGCGGCCGCUGCCUCGGCCUUGGCUGCGGCCUUGCUGCGCUCCUCCUCCUCGGCCGCCUCCACAAUUUCAUCGAUGUCGCCAAAGUUGUCCAGCAAAAUGGCCAAGAACAGGUUGAGCACCAUAAAAUUGCCGAUGAGGAUGAGCGCCACGUAGAAGCAGGCGGCCCAGGGCGUGGUGGCGUGCAUGGCGGCGUGCAGCGAGUCCGCCCAGUUAUCAAACGUCAGCACCUGAUGGGUGCGUGGGUGGCAGAGUGAGGAAACACACCCAACCCGUCAGGGUUUCAGUGCAGCACGCCAGCAACCAAGUAAAGGCCAAGGUGUAAAUUAGGUGCGCCAGGCGCCAGGUGGGCAGCGUUGCCCGCCUCUUCCUCCCAGGAUUGCUCACCUGGAACACGGUGAUGAAGCCCUGGAAGAUGUUGUCGAAGUUGGCGCGGAUCAGGCUUGGCUUGCCCACCUGCGCCAUGUAGGUCAGCGACGUGUAGUUGUACGAACCAAACAGGACCGAGCCCAGGCCGUAGAGGUCCGCGCCCAAAGCCACGUCAACGUCGGUCAAGUUGGCCGCGGACAGGUUGGGGAAGAGAGUCGUGUUGUAAGGCCAUGAUGCGUUGGUGAAGAUGGCCGUCAAAUUGACGGUCGCCACGUACGGAGUUGUGGGCUGGGACUGAGGGAAGGAGUCCACAUCAAGGGGUGGAUACCCGCUAUUGACCGCGUCAAGGUAGGCACCCGCAAGCGCCGCAAGCGUGUCAUUGCCUCCACCCAGCUCGGGGCUGCUCAUAUUGCCGUGCAGCUCGGCGCCAUUGGUGGCCGGCUCCAACAGCGCCGCCACAGCACGUGCCACCGACUGGUUGAAGGGCGCCGCCACGUCGGGUGCGUACUGCCGCGGGAACACCUCGCACGUUGCCUGCAGUUGACAGCAGGUUACAGCAGUCCGAGACUGUAGCAAACGAGGCCUGCCGCCCACAACACAGACAGGGGCGCUCACAGGUCCAGGGCCAAGAAUGCCCAGCUCCUUUGGUCAAAUGCGUGGUGCUGCCCCUGGACCCACUUACCACGUUAUUGUAAGGGCUGCCGUCCGCAGGAAUGACCAAGUUGGCGUUUUGCCAGUUGCAGGGCAAGUAGCAGUCAAAGUGUGCGGGGCAGGUGGCGAGGUCAUUGGAAGGACAGCUAGCGGUGCUGCCUUCCACCGAGUCGCACACCGCCAUGGUGUAGCCGAACAGCUGCAUGCCGAGCAGACUAAAAAUGAACAUAAACAGCCUGAAGGGGGACACAUGAAGGGCGGGGGCGAAGUCAAUCUAGAAUGCAAAAAAGGAGCAUUAGUUGGCACAUGUACAUGUGUCCCGAGUGCCAACCACUCACAGCAGUAGCAUGGUCAGGUAGAAGGUCUGCUUCACAGACGCCAGCAGAGUUGAGGUAAUGGCCUGUUUGGGUGAAGGUCAGGGGCGAUAGGACCAAGCAGCCACGUCAAGUGCAUUCGAAUGCCAGCUACAUCCACUCAGUCGAAGCCUCGGCCUCUCUAAGUUUGUUCAGGGCGGUUUGCAAGUGGGACGGACUUGUGCGUGGACCUGCUCAUGCGCUGCACCUACGUAGAGGCUCUUCCACUGGCGGGACAGGCGGAACAGGCGCAGCAGGCGGAACACUCGCAGGAUGGACAGCGUGUUAGCUAGCUUGUUGUCCACGGUGGGGAUGAGCUCGAUGAUCAUCUCGGCGGUGGUGGCAGCGUUCACGACUGCAGAAGAAGGGUGCCAAGAGGGGUAUGGGGGCAUGUGAAAUUGUUUGAAAGCACUUUCCUGAAGCUGUAAUCUCACCGCCCUGCCAACCCCGCCAGCGCCACCAGCGCCCGCACUCACUCAUGUCCAUUAUGUUCAUGCCAUCUGUGAAGUACAGUACACCCAGGCCCAUGAGCUUGAUCACCUACAAGCAUGGCAAACAGGAAGCAUGCAGGCUUUCCGAAAUGAAAUGCAGGCAAUUUCAACGUGUACCGCCAUCCAACGCACAAUACGGAUCAUGCCCGUUGCUCUGCCCGAAGUCCUUCACCUUACCAUGGCCCUUCUCCGACCUACCAUCUCAAUGAUAAAGUAGAUGGUGAAUGCGUAGUUGGAGAUGUCGUUGAAGCGGUCCAGCGCGUACGGCAUCUCGUACCACUGCAGCGCCAUGAUGAUGGCGUUCAACGCAAUGACCACCAUGGACGCCGCGUCCAGCCGCCAGUCGGACGUGACCCAGUAGCACCAGUUGCGCAGGGCCGAGCAGCUGCGGUCGGCCUCGUAGCGCUCCUCACGCUUCUUGCCCGCAGGCACGUGCGCGGUGCAGCAGCCGUCGGGCCAGGGCCCGUCGUCCGUCGACGCCGUGUCCAGCAGGAGGUUAGGGUUACCUGCCGGCGCGGCAUCCGCGUCCCUCGCGCCCGUCUUGCUGCGGCACAUGGAGGGCUGCUGCUUGGCCGGCACCCUUUCGGAACCGGCUGUAGCAACGCCAGCGGCACUGUGGCGCAGGGCUUCACCAUUGCUGCUACUGCCAUCACUGCUGUCGUCAUCCUCUUCAACCUCCUCCUCGAGGGCCGCCGCGGUUGCCUCCAGUGCACGUGAGGCGGCCAGGCUGCUACCACGGUUCGCCGCCAACAAAGCUGCGCGCCGCAGAGACGCCAUACGGCCUGAGCUGUUGUCCUUGCUCCAGCUCCAGCCCAGGCUGGAGCUAGGCGAAUGGCGGGCGCUGCCAGCGGCGAAGCUGCCCAGAGCUCCCAGUGCAGGGUUAGCGGCACUGGCUGCCGAGGCACCAGUGGAAGCACUGGGAGCGCCGCCAGCCCGGGAGUUUCCGGCCUUGUACCCGCUGCCGCCCACCAGGCUCCGACUUGCCAUGGAAGCGCCGUACAUUGGGGCAGUGACGCUUGUGACACCACCGCGCGCCCCAGAACCGCUAAACAUGCCGCUGGCGCCCACCAGCUCAUAUGCAGUGCAGACGGAUCGCUCGUCAUAGUCGGCGGCCUUGAGGAACUGCGGCACCUCGUACUUGCGCCGGAGCGUCUCGCUGUCUGGGCCCAGCGCCACCAGGUGGGGGUGCUUUUGGCCCCCCAGCUCCUUAGAGGGCUGCAAAGGAGGUGCAUGGGCAUGUGGUUGUAUGUGUGUUAGAUAGCACAUGGCAAGGAGUACACAAGAUCCAUGUGUGUGCGUGCGUGUGUUUGGAAGGGGCUUGUGCAGGAGCGACAUGUCAGCAUCGCUGGAUGACGGAUCGAUCUAUGUGAGGAACAUGGUAGCUGGCAGUAUCCCCGCUUCACCACAUCCACCACCGGCCCCCUGCACUGCUUACCGGAAAGUCAUCCAAUUCAUUCAGGUGCUGGGACGACUCGGUACGCUUCAGCUUGUGGCCGCCUGGGGUGGUGCGCUCCUGCGCCUGCCACUGCCCGCCCUCAACGGCGUCCAGGCCAUCCAGGGGCUCAUCGUGUGCCGCCUUCAGCCGGGCCAGCUCGUCUGCCUGCAGGCGCUUCUGCUCAUUCCGCUCCCUGAGCUCCUUCUUCUUGAGUGCGUCUGCAAGCCGCUUGUCCUCCUCUUCGCGUCGGGCCUCUGCGGCAGCCUGCAUUCAGGACGGCGAUGCGCAGUAUGUUGUAUGUUCGCACGUGCUCAGCACCGGCUGCUGUCCUGCUAGUGACCCCCUUGGAACACUUCCUAGGCAGUCUGCCGACUGCCCAUGUUCUGCCUGCAAGUGCAGCGGUUCCCACCCUACUUCCGGCCCCGCCACGCACCAGCCUCUUCUGCUCCUUGUCCUUGCUGAACUGAAGGUACAGCACGGCCAGCGCAAGGUUGAGCAGGAAGAAUGAGCCGAAGAUGACCAUGGCCCAGAACAACGGGAACACGCCGGGGUUGAUGGCGUUCAUGCAAUCGUACAUGCUGAACGACCAGUCCGUCAACGUCAUGAUCUGGAACAUGGUCAGCCAGGCCCACACGAUCUGUACACGGUCGACGUAGGUUGUGGUAGGGACAAGUGGGGGAGGAGGGAAAACGGGAUGUCAGGAUGAGCCAGUCACAAAACCAUUGGCUGGCAUUAUGGUACAGUCGAGCCCACAUGCUACUUGCCACCCAGCACUACGAGCCAAACAGUUACCCGCUGCGGAAGCCAUUCAGGCCGCCUGCCAGGCUAGCUGCGUACUCACGUGGUCAUACAUACGGUAGCCGUCGCCCGGGUUUUGGAACGGCACACACCACUGCGAGGGGUCGCUGCACCAGAAGCCGCCAUCGCUCUUGGGCUGGCCCGUGUAGCUGUCCCAGGUGCACCACCCUGUGGAUACAUAAUACGGUAAGCAUGCGGCAGGAUCCUGUAGAUAGGUGCAAUGCAUAUUUACCGUAUACGCAACCCAGCAUUCGCCAUAAGCAUCAAGCCCGAGCGCGGUACUUGACCGUUGUCUUAACUGCUACGUAACGCCCGACUGAUUUCACUCCUACUGCAUGUACAUACCCAGACAUACCAGUACUCCCCGGCACUCACCGUCGGUCUCGUUGCAGCUGCCCACCCAGGAAAGCGAGCCUAGGUUGGACGGCACCGGGCCGCGGCACACCGUGUCUGCGUCGUCGUCGGCCACCUGCCAUUGGUCCCACAGCCCCGUGCUGGUGAACAGGGACAGGCUGGCGCUGGGGUCGCCGUAGGGCUCCCCGGUGAAGUUGCGUCCGAGGCCGUCAACGAGCGCAGUCAUGGGCAAAGUGCCGCACCUGCACGUGUGUUUGGUUUGGGCAUCAUGUAUGAACUGGGGCCAUGCAACCACGUGAUUGCCAGCUGCUCGCGGCCCACCAUAAGCAGCACAACCGCUGCCACCGCUCCCCUUCCUUAUCACCCGCAAUCGCUUGCCCACAUGCAUGCACGGACCUGCCCUUCAGCGAGCCUGCGAAGAUGUUGAUGUUGAUGGCGCCGAACAGCACGAAGUAGAACACGGCCAGGAUGACCACGUCCAGCAGCAGCGGAAUGGAGUUAAGCAUGGUGUCCACCAGUUGCUGUGUGGGGUAAGAAAACGCGCGUGGGGGUAAAGUUGAAGGCGCACAUGCCGAUGUGGGUCGAGGCAGACAGCCACCCAGCUACCCUGGAAACCAGCCCCCAGCAGCACCACCAGUCUACAGCCCACCGUCGCCGCAGUUCUCAAGACCCCACCCGCACCUUCAUCUCCUGGAUCUUGUUGAUGGACCUCAGCGGCCGCAGCACCCUCACGCAGCGGAUGAGUGUGUAGUUGCCGCGGCCCGACAGAUCCAGGUAGCCCAGGCCCACAACCACAAAGUCUAUGAUGUUCCACUCUGGAGAAACCAAGCGGCAGAGUAAGGGGUGCAGGCUCUGAGCAUGGAGUAGAGCGUCUCACAUACGGCGCCUCCAAACAUGCGUUUGCCACCGCCGCACUAGCGCACUUCCAUUUGCCCAAUCCACCCAUGCCCCUCCCUGCUCCGCUCCCACACCAUGCGCACACUCACUGUCUCGAAUGUAGGAGCCCUUCCCGCGGAUGAAGCCCAGCGCUAUGACGCGGAUGAGCAGCUCAAGCGUGAAUAUGCCCAACCACACAUACUCGCUGAUGCGCAGGUUCUUCCCCAGCCGCGUGCUCUCAAAGCCCGGCUUCCCAGGGGUGGCCAGCGCCAGGGUGACGCAGUUGGCCAAAAUGAUAGCCAGCAUGAACCUGGGGACAGCAAGGCAAGGCGGGACGGGCAGGGCUCAGCCCAGCCGCGUGGUAAUGACUAAAGUUGGCAAGCACAAGCCAGCCGCUCACACAACCUAUAAAAUGAGCGGCCUGACUCUGUGUCCCCCCCCCCCUGGUUGGCUUGGUUUGGUUUAAUUUGGGCUGGAAUUUACAACCCCCCCCCCCUCCUCCCCACCCUGGGUCUUAGGACAACACUAUCUCCCACAACACAACCCUCAGCCCCCAGCGGCCCACACCCACCACUCGAACAGCUUGUGGGAGGCUAUGUAGACACACGCCUUACGCAGCUCGUUGUCCUUGGGGAACAUCAUCAGCGAUUGUUCUGAAAGCUCACGUGUUAGCACCUGGCAUGAAGGGUCCAGACCGCAGGCGGGUUAGGUGCACACGAUGUAAAGAGAGGCAAUAAUCAGAGGGCUUGCGUUAAUGUGCAGCCUGUACAUAUGUGCCUUCUUCUGUCAUAACCUUUCGGGUACUGACACAGAACCCGCCUACUAGCCGCCUACAGCCCAGCCCCGGCGCCGCGUCUGCACACACUGCUGCCACUUCAGGUGACCCUGCUGCCGCUCACCUCGUACUUGCGGGGUUUGAUCUCCCGCUUGAUGUCCACCCACAGCUCCAUAGCAGUGCGCCUGAAGCUGAAGUCCUGGUCCUCCUCACCCUCUCCUUGCUCCUUAUUCUUUUCCUUUCGCUUCCCUUGCUCGUUGUGGUUGCCCUUGCUAUCAUCGCCUUUUCCUGCCUUGCCCUGCGCGACUGCACUCUUGCCCUGUGUGUGGGCGACCACAGGCACGGGCGUGCCCCUGGCAACCCCGUUGUGUCCAGGUCUUUGCAGCUCUGUGGAUUCAUCCAGCAGGAUGCCCAGCUCGCCGGACUGCAUCGGGUUUCCGCCGUUGGGGCGUGCCACAGCGUCGGGGCCCACCUCGUCCAUUGGCGCCCCGUUCAACUGAGACCGAAGCCCGGAAGCGCCGUUCUGCUGCCCAUCGACCAUGUUAUCUUCUAGAUGUCUAUGGACCUGCGACGCACAAGACAUCGUUGAACAGAACUGAGGCCCGGCGCAUGCCCGGUGUCAGAGUGUGCGUCCUCUUCCAUUAACCAGACAAUUAUGAAUGUACAUGUACGGCUCUAUGUUGAAGGCGCAAAUGCAUCCGCGUCAAGCACCACAAAACACACUUGUGAAAUUGCACACGAGGGGCCAGUCCGGACUGCGCAGGAGUUUGUUGUUGCAGCAAGACACAUCCAAGUGGUUUCAUCAGGUACCAGCCACGACUAUAGUCGUGGGGUCCACGACUGCAGGCAUGCGGAGUCGGCUUUGCGCCAAACGACAAACAGUAGCCAGCGCGACCACCCAUCUCCUUCCAGAAAUCAUGUGAUGCAGUAGUUUUCAUAAAUCCAGUCAGCAAACGCUGCUCUCACACUCAGCCACAUUGCCAUGAAGUGAACUCUUACCAGGCGGCUGGGCGCGCUCCCGUUAGCAGCUGUCACACCUCAUUGUAACACGUGGAAUUGUCGAGGGUCCCACCAGCCUGAUGUCGCGACAGACCUAGCGGUGGUCUAGUGCGGAGUCACUUCAAAGUUGCUGUACUAUGUCUUUAUUGGCCAGGUUACGCCGCUUGCGUAUCCAAUCUAUAAACUGCAUCAGAAUAAAAACGUGUUUCCCCUGACAAGCAGCAGCGCGCAGAGCCUGAAGCCUCAACACAAGCCUGCGCUAUCCUACAGCAUCAAAUGUAUGAGCUACGUUCUAACAAACAUGUACAUGGUGCGGUGCGCUUCGUCCGGUACUGACACUGCAGCAGCAAAGUUGCAGUCGUCGGCUCAUGCAGCGCCCGCCAGACAGCCUAGACCGCUCUGGUGAAAGAGCCGUGCUGCAACAUAUGCAUUUCGAAAAGUGACGUCCAUUGUCUAUACUCAAAUGUCCCUGGAAGGUGUGGACCACGGCCAGUGCCCGUUGUGCAGUGGAUGGCGACGACAAAUCGAGGAUCCCCGGCGCUCCGCUGGCGCACACACGCAGGUGGCUGCAGUCCUACCUUGCGGGAGUGCCCACGUUGGUGCUCGGCGGCCGGGACCGAGGCGGCGUGAUCAGGGAGGUGAGGCAGCCAGGAGGUGUGGGGGGUUUGCCGUCCGUGAAAGGCGGCGUGAAGGAAUGACAGGUUUCAAGUGCCAACGUCAAGUGGGAACAGCGGGUUAUCAGGGAGGGCAUGUGGGGGGGGAAGGGCGGCGGCGGGGGUGAGUACGACGAGGACGAGGGGUAUUAGGCGGAGUGGCGGACGAAGCGGCGGCGGAGGGGAACCGUACUAGGCGUGUGAUGGGACGGUGUGUGAUGGGACAGUGGCAAGGCAGGUUGGUAAGGUCCCUUAGGGCGCAGCUAAUUCCCAAACCCAACAAAUGGCAAACAGUUGGCAGAGGCAGGGCAAGAGUGCGCGGCUGGUCUAACGCCGGAGUUACUGUACCGACGAGUUGCUGGCUGGCUGGAAGUUUUGCUGACGCGCAUUCCUCACGCUCCGGGCGCCCGGCCAGGCGAUAGCACCACACAGGCGUGUGAUGGGACGGUGGUAAGGCAAGUUGGCCAAGUCCCGUAGGGUGCAGCUGAUUCCCAGAACCCAACAAAUGGCAUACAAUUGGCAGCGGCAGGGCAGGAGUGCGCGGCUGGUCGAACGCCGGAGUUACUGUACCGACGAGUUGCUGGAUGGCUGGAAGUUUGCUGACGCGCAUUCCUCACGCUCCGGGCGCCCGGCCAGGCGAUAGCACCACACAGAUACACCGCAACGCCACACUCGCGAGGCAGAGCCGCAUCGCACCUGCAGGAAGGUGACCAGCGUCCACGGAUGAGCACGAGAGGCAGCCGCAGAGAAAAUGCAAACGGAAUGCAGCAAAGCAAUGGCCGGGCGACAGUGUGGCAAGCAGGGGCACAGACAGGGCGAGGCAAGGCAGAAGAGGGCGCCCGAAUGUACGGAUGAGUGGCGGGCGAGUCGAAUGCAAUUGCGAGACAAACACAACCGGAGUGUGAGGAAGCGCCGCGGGUUGGAAAAGGGAAUGCCGCGGCUGAUAUUCGGGGCAGAGCUGUGUCGCGCGCCCUAAGGACCGAGUGCGGUUAGCGGAAACCGUACUAGGCGGACGAGGAGGAGGGUGGGAGAAAUGGGAGAAUCAUCAUAAGGAAGAACUGUGGACCGGCGAGUAACAUAUACGGAUCGUGGAGGGCAGGGUGUCGAGGGUGCCCGAGCCGUGCCGAGACGUGCGGAGACCGGAGCGUACCUGAAGUGUGCACCAAGGAUGUGCCGGUAUCGAUGCGGCUGUACCCUAUGGGGUGGUCACGCAUAUGCUGUUGGGCUGCGUGUGAAGCGUGAAAGCCGCACGGCGAUCUCCGUGCCAAGGUCGCUGCCCUAUAGCAGCAUUGCAGCAGCAAGGUACAAGAGCAUACUGGGACGUCCCUUCUUGUAUUGUCGCAUAACUCGCAUUCUUGAAAGAUGGGACAGGAUAAGGUUGGCGUCGUGUUCGGGGCAAGGGUGUCCUGGAGCGCCUUUGCCGACUGCCAGCGCGCGUGCGCAAACUCAACUUCAUAAAUUCAAGCGAGUAAAGAGAAAGGGUAAGAGCGGAGGCAUGCGGCUGUCAUGCAUUAAUGUCGAGGGCAGGCAAGGCCGCAUUUGCGCAUCCCCGGGUGAUGCCCACGGCGGGCACGUAACGCGCUGAUGGGGGAGGGGUCGCAUUUGUACCCAACCUUACCGUCACGCAUUAGUUGACGGCAAUAUCUCGCGGAUACAUCAUCCCCCCACAAGUCUCAGGAAACACCCCUCCGACCGAAUUCUCUGAUUGACACACCGCCCAUUUCGACGUGCGUUGCGGAACUCAUGCGUACGUAGACCAGAGCGGAAGGCGGAGUGGGCUUGCAGGCAGCACGAGAGCAGGCAGUCAGUAGUAGCGCAAGUUGCGAAUUCAUAUGUUACCUCGAAACCGACGGUAAAGGCCGCGAACGGCCGGGCCCAUGGCUGGCUGACGGGAGGAGGCUGCUGUAUUGGGAUGGCUGGGCUGGGCGACGGCUGGCGGGCUGGCGUUGGGACUACCAGAAAGGAUGCGCCCGAAACCAACCUGGAGAACACCAGCGCCACCGGUGCCCAGCACGACAUGUAUGGGAGGGAGGGAGGGACAGGAGGCGUGAUGCACUGCAGCGUAGAAGCUAUGGCGCUAGGCGCGGGGCAAGCACACCACUACAGGCACCGCCACGGCAUUUUCAUCUCCUCCUUAUGCGGGGGGGCCCUCGGGCUCCCCCCGCAGUCCAGGCGCCGCGCCCCACCCGCACGGAGUGGCCUGCAUACAUCCAGUGACGGGGCCGCCUCCGCACCAAGGCUUGCAUCUUCCAGGGGUAGGCCGCCACCGCUGGCGAGAAGGGCGCUAACCACGUUAUAUCGUCCACGGCAUCCACGACCAUAUGCAGCCCCACGCGGCGAGAAUGCACCCCCGGAAAUGCCCAACCCUUCUCGCCCGAGGGCCUGCAUUGGGGGGCGUUUCUUGCCGCUCCCUAAAGAUGCAAGCCCUGCUUCGCCCUACGCGUUGAUGACCACUUGAGGUGAGUUAGUGGGGUGUGCGAUGGCUAUCGGCCGCCGAAGCGGCCUCCCCUCGUCGACGGACUUCCAUCCUGACGGCAUGUGUAUCACAAAGCUGCCAACCAGGGUCCGCGCCUGCGUCCUCCACCAGUCCACCUCCACCUCCCCCGCCACCCGCAUCGCCGCCAGCAGUGGCACCGCCGUCACUGCCACGGCCCUGCACGCCCCACCCCAUCACACUUUCUCUGCCGGCGCUCAUCCGUGGACGCUGGUCGCCUGUCUGCAGGUGCUCUGCGCUUCUGCGCACACGCACGUACAUGCACGCACGUGUGGGUGUGUGUGCGUGUGUGUGUCUGGUGCUGUCACCUGGCCGGGCGCCCGGAGCGUCAGCAAACUACACGCCUGCCCAGACGCCAGCGAUGUUUCGGUGCAGUAACUCCGGCGUUAUACCAGCCGCACAACCGCCUUGACGUUGCAACUUACAUGCCUUGACGUUGCAAAUCACAUGUUGGGGUCUGGAAUACGCCACACUACGGGACUACGCCAUUACCCUGUCCCAUCGCACUGGCCCAUCACACUUUUAUUUGUUAAGUGUGGUUCCGCUAUAGGAAACCACACUUACUAUCUGUUACAUGUGAUCUUCUCGUGCAGACCAUGAUUGAUCGCAUGGACGGGUUGGCUGCGCGUUACUGUUUUCACGUUCUUUGCCUGCGUCCACCAAAAUGUAUGCCCAAUCAACGACUUUAGCAGUGUACAUUCAACACCACUAAGUAUACAAAACGCAAGGCAAAACGGGCUGCUCGAAGUAAGCGCUCAAGGUCACGGUCACGAUUGAGUGGCCUAUUUGCCGGGCGCCUAGUAAUUUUGGUUCCCGCUCUACACGCUUCCUGUGCCUCUACUGAUGGUUCCUGUGACCAAUGACGAUAAAUAGCAUGCUAUAUCGCUUGUAAGCGAGGCGCGACGAGCUCGGGCGACGCCAAUCGGGCUGCCGGUGCGGAGCCCAUCCAUCCACCACCUUACGCGCCGCCUUUCAGCAUGCUAUCUGAUAUUUGUGACAUAUAAUUGGCAUGUGAACAGGCCCUGCCACUAGCUGUGCGCGCGCUGGCCCAGGCAUGUCCAUGUGCGUGCGCAUGUCCCGGCUGGCACUGCAAGGGGCGUCAAAGGACUUGUAGUGUGAGGUAGUCAUGCGCUGUAGUCGUGUAUGCGUCAGGGAUACAGCGCAGUGGCGGCAAGCCAGGGUGGUCGGGUGGAACCCCACGCGCAGGUGGAAUGCAGGGGGUGAAUCAGGGUGAAUCCCCUUGCACCCCUGUCAAAACCCAUAGGUGCCCAACGCAACCCCAGCCCUUCGGGGUGAAAUUAUUUAUCCACUGCUUGUGUACGCAACAUAAGUGAUACCAUUUUACCAGUGCUUGUUUGCUGUAGAGUCCACCUGAACCGGGCUGGGGGUGAAAUACCACCAUUUCACCCCGUGUCAUUCACCAUGGUUCCACCUGCGCGUGGGGUUCCACCCGACCACCCUGGCUUGCCGCCACUGCGCUGUAUCCCUGACGCAUACACGACUAUAGCGCAUGACUACCUCACACUACAAGUCCUUUGACGCCCCUUGCAGUGCCAGCCGGGACAUGCGCACGCACAUGGACAUGCCUGGGCCAGCGCGCGCACAGCUAGUGGCAGGGCCUGUUCAUAUGCCAAUUAUAUGUCACAAAUAUCAGAUAGCAUGCUGAAAGGCGGCGCGUAAGGUGGUGGAUGGAUGGGCUCCGCACCGGCAGCCCGAUUGGCGUCGCCCGAGCUCGUCGCGCCUCGCUUACAAGCGAUAUAGCAUGCUAUUUAUCGUCAUUGGUCACAGGAACCAUCAGUAGAGGCACAGGAAGCGUGUAGAGCGGGAACCAAAAUUACUAGGCGCCCGGCAAAUAGGCCACUCAAUCGUGACCGUGACCUCAAGGAAAUGACCGACGAGUCUCCGCAGGCCAGCACCGGUGGCAGUAUAAUGCCUGAGGCGGAAGAGGAGAAUCCCAGCCCUGAGAUGCAGGGCCGGUCGCUGGCAGCCCCCAAACGGAGAGGCCUUGCAGCGGCCAUGGUGAACCAAGCCCGAGGCCGUUGGGGCCGGGCCAAGAACAUGCUGCUGGCUGCUUCCCGGUGAGUGCAUCGCCCUGACAUUGGCAGAGGGUAGACCGGGAAGGGGUGAUAUGGGGGCAAGGAAGUCCUGUGCGUCAGUAUGCGGCGCUACCUACGUGCCUGCGUUGGCCAGAGAAACUGGCACGUACACGCGCACGCAGACGGGGAUGCACGUCUGCACAAUGACGUUCACUACAAGGCGCAGCCUCUCUGCAAUUAGUUGCAUCUUACAACCGCGUGUGAGCGUGGCUGCAGGGUACGGCGGUUGGCGCUGGCGGACAACGCUGACUUCACACGGGAGAACACACAGGCACUGGAUGCGGUGAGCUGGGGAUGAGGGGUGGGACUCCAGCCUGUUUGAGUGGCCUGGGUUAUCGUUGGGCUCCACUUGGUGGUGGGGAUGGCUGUGGGUUCUGGCUCCUGGGAUGGGACCGCUGCCUUGCAUACGGCACCGCACGUGGGGCCGUCGGGUGCCCCAUGAGACGUUGUUGCAGCAAGUACGCCCCGACCGUCCCCACGCCAUGCGCCUCGCCUCGCACUGAGCCAGGCCGUCAAGGGUCACAUCAACGUGGUCCUCAACGUGGAGCAGACGCGCGACCUGUCCUCCAUCAACUACGCUCAGCAGGGCAACGCGGCCAUGUACACGCCCGAGGUGGGGACUGGGGAGGCCUGGGCGCGUGCGGCUGUUGGCGGGGUGCUCCAGGAGCGUGGUAGUGGGAGGCGCAUUGGCUGCGUGUGUGGCUGUGUAUAGGAAGGGCGGAGAACGCAUUAGGUCAAUCACGUCCCGGGACGCAGAGUUAGCCCACAUCAGGGGAGGUGUUGCUUGCCCAUUCCCAAUAAGAGAACAUGAGACGGGGUGAAUGGUGGGCAUGCGAGCCGCUGUAGGGUAUACAGUGGACCACACGCGCCUCGUGUCGCCACGUACCCACAUCCAAGACCCACAUGCUCGCUCCCGCGGCACACAGGUCAUGUCCAAGCGCCACUCCAACCGAACCGACACCAGUCUCAUUGAGGUGGUGCGCCACUGGUGGCGCUGGCUGCCCAAGGCCGAUCAGGAGGUCAUGGAGGUGGCGCCCGCAGCCCCGGACCUCGGGCGGUCCGCGGCGGUGCGGUUCGCGCACGACUCGCUUCCGCUGCCGGAGCCCACUGCUGCUGCCAAUGGCGGGGCGGACACGGCUGCUGAGGCCGGGAGCGUGGGCGCAGGGGCCGAGGGUGCAGGAGCCGAAGGCGGCAGCCGCACUCUGCAGUCGCGUAUGUCGAUCCACACCCGGCUGGACGGCGGCAGCGGCGGUGUGGCACUGGACAGUGGGGAGGCAUCAGCAGGAGGAGGUGGCGGGGGCACGGUGCUCAAGGUGGCAGCACUGGACAGGGCCAUAUACAGCGCCAUGGUGGUGGCCAUUACCAUGGUGCGUGUGUGGCAGGUGGUGGCCAUUUCACCUUUCCUAUGCGGGGAUGCCUGGGGCUGCAGAGUCUGAGCCUGUGGGCGGCGGGGCGCUUGGGGCUGUUGCAAGGGGUUUCAUAUGCAUGCAUUGAUCUGUUCCCUCAUUCCCGCAUCAGGUACUGCUGCCGCGCUUUGGACUGAAGGCUGACCCCGACUACGACCCCUCCGGUAGGUACCGAAGCGCUCCGGCAGUGCAGCGACCAGGGUGUGUGUGUGUGUGUGUUUGUGUGUGUGUGUGUGUGUGUUGUGUGUGUGUGUGUGUGUUCACACAAAACAAACGGAACAAAGCCGCCAAACACGCGUGAGCAGUGUGUGUGUGUGUGUGUGUGUGUGUGAGUGUGAGUGUGUGUGCGUGCGUGCGUGGUAUUUGUAGAUACAAUAUGUGGCGGCCUGGCAAGUCGUGUCCGGGUCCAGAACCUCCACUCGUCCUACCUCCAUCUGCCUUGACAUCACUUCUCCAUUACUCGUAUCCCCCCUGUUCAAAACCCAGAGGACUGGCUGGACGACAACAAGGGCCUGCCGUACAUGGACUUCCCAAACUUCUUUGACGCCAUGUUUGAGCUGGCGGACAUGUGGGCCGAGGGUGAGCUGGGUGGGAGGGUGGGAGGGUGGGAGCUGACUGGAGGGACAGGGACAGAGGGAGUGUUGGGGGCUGGAUACGGUGGGUGGUGCGCUGGGCUUGAGGGGCAGGGUGCAAGUGGAGGAGGGACGAUGGUGACGGGCUGCGGCCGUGUCAUGAGGGCCCGCCACAUGACAGGCCUUAAUCUCGCGCGCUGCGUGCCCUCCUCAUUCCCCGACUCGCCGUACCUUGACCUGACAGGCACGGACGUGCGGGAGUACGUGGAGCUGCUGCUGGUGGGUGCCUGCGGGCUGGGGGUGGAACGGGAAGGUGGAGGAGACAUAGUAGUGGGUACGCAUUACGGUAGUUUGAAGGGGCGGGCCGACGUAGAUGAGGCGUAUAAGCCGCAUAUCACCUCACCGCGUCAAGCCCGCUCAUGCUUUUGCCGCAUCGUUGCCAUUCCCGCUUUGCCGUUGCAGACCACGCUGCAUGAUGUUCAGAAGAUGGACGCGGCGGAUGGUACCUUCAGCCGCCUGCUCAAGAAGUUUGGAUACAAGUCGGCCUUCAGGCCGGCCCGCGAAUCCCUCUUCCCACCGGAGCCGCCGCCGCCACCCCCGCCACCGCCGCUGGAACCCAAGCGUGCCCCGUCCCCUCAGUCGGAGCCUUCUCGUCCCGCGCGGACCAUUCCGCAGCACUCGCCCAUCCGUACCGACCACGUGACCAGCCGCGUGGCCUCACACAUCCGCUCCUUCAGGUCGUUCAGGGAGCCGCGAUCACAGCAGGGCAGCGGCAACUGGGAAGGAUGGGACGCCGCGGCAGGGGCAGCAGCUGAUGCCGACGAGGGCGGUGAGAAUGCACAGGCAGGGGCCCAGCAGCAGCACCCGGACGCGCACAUGUUCAGCUACGGCGGUGGCAACCAUGGCGGUGGUUGCGGCCCGCUGCCAGGGAGUCCCCCGCCCGACUACGGCGGUGUGGGCGGCAGCGGCUACGGCGCGGCUGGUGCAGGCGGGCGCUGGUCGCCGCAGCGGCGAGGCCCCUUCGUGAUGCCUGCCCCAGCCAAGGUCGAUUACUCGGGUGAGCUGGUGGAGGGUCAACUAUGUGGAUGCAUGCUGGCGUGUUCGCAUUACACAGGACGGGGGUUGAGUGUGCGGUGUUGCGAGAGGUUUUGAUGCAUUAAGGGAGCAAACCGGCUGAGAGCGCAAGCUCCAUCCUUGGCUCCAUCUGCCGUCUGCGGCCGGAUACAGGUCAGGGCGGCCGCGUACGCAAGGUAUGCCCCGUCGUGAGACGGGUGACAGGUGGUGCAUAUGGGUCACAGGUGGUGCAUAUGGGUCACCUCGUCGCUGCCGUCCGGCCCCAGCUCCUCAUGUCGUGAUCAGCACUGCACAUCAUUGAUGAUUUCAGGUAUUAUCUCUCCCUCGAGCUGCCCUAGGCCCCCACCCAAAGGCCCCCAGCUGCCAUACCCCAACCCAAAGGCGCGAGGCAGCGGAAUUCAGAUUCUGAGUCUCGCAUCAAAUGAGUCAACGGACAGGGGCAAUCCUGGGCACGAACGCAGCCACCAGCCACGGACAGGGGUGUUCCUGGGGGGCUUCGCCCCCCCCCCUGGAACGCUUCGCUGGGGGGGCUCAGCCCAAAAAAAGUGACCCACAUAAAACGUGCAGCGGUACGGAACACCGUCAACACACUGUGCAUUGCUGCAUGCCCAUUGUGCACCCAGGCAUUCGCUCGACUCUGGCUGAGCUCACUGCGCCACCGCGCCGCCCCGACACGGCCACACUGGGCGAGUGGCGGCGGCUGCGGCAGCAGCGGCAGCAGCAGCGGCUCAUGAGCGCCCGGCUGGGAGGCAAGGUGAGGGGAUGGCGGGUGGAGCAAGAAGUGUGAAUCGAGGAUGGUCGUGACUGUGUACAGCGGCACAAGGUCAAAGGAUGUGGACCUGGCAGAUGUAGAGACGAACCCAAAACCUCAUGCCCCUCUGAAAUUAACCCACUCGCAGGAGCAAGGCGUGGGUGGCAUCCCCCUGGCGCUGAGGCAGGCGGAGGUGGCGGACCCCGGGGCAGCCGGCAGCGGCGCCGUGGGCGGCCCCGGUCGUGGUCCCGGCCCCGUGAUCCAUGCGUACGAGGAGUACAUGCAUGACAUGGUGAGGUGGAGUCAAGCGUUGUGGUAGGAGUGGUAGGUCUUUUAGUGCAGGGGAUGUGGUGGCAGUUGAGAUGGGGGCCGUAGGCUGAAGCAGCUGCUGAAGCCAAUAACUUUUAGGUACUCAGCUGUAGCGCGCGUCAGCACCUCCUUCAUUACGAACGUUUCGCCGCCCUCUCCCUCUGCCCCCUGCCCGCUCCCGCCAGGCCGCCCGCUACCUGUCAACCCAGGAGGCACUGCUGGUGGCCACCAGUGCGGCGGCGGCGGCGGCGGCAGAGCAGGUGCUGGCGGCGGCGGGCUGGGCGCAGCAGGCGCAGCAGGAGGACUUUGAUGUCAGCAGGUGAGCCGCCAGGAUAACACAACACACAGGUCGCAUGUGCAGCUAUUGUGUCCUGGGCGCUACUGCGUCCAGCUCGUCGUGGUGCAGGACCUGCAACCUACUAAGCGCGCUCUUCCCAUGCCGCCACUCCUUUCAUUUCCCCCAGUGUCUAUCCACAACGGCUAUGGGAUUCGGCUGACCUGGACUCAGCGGCCGCCGCGGCCGCAGCCUCCCAACAGGCUGUGAGCAGCCCCCGCCUGCCCGCCCUGUCCGCACCCGGCUCCGGGCAGGUGUGCUGGCCACCCAGGGCACCAGGCGCCGGCACCAUCGGCAGCUCGGGUGCCAGCCCUCAGGCCUCCCCCCGCGCUUCCGGGACCGUUCCCUCUGCCGGUACCACUGCAGCAGCCUCCGAUGCGGAUGCGGCGGCGAACCAGGCCACUGCCGUGUCUGACCCGGCCCUCGUCGCCUCCCCCAGCGGCUCCGCCGGCCUCACCUCCCGCGCCUCCCGCCUGGGCUCCCGCGCCCUGCUGUCCUGCGGCGCCUCCUCCCACUCCUUGCCCGCCACUCCGCGCGGCGGCGUAUCCAUCACCGUCGGGCCCGACGCCACAGCGGCGGGUGGCGCCGUCGGCACAGCCACACUGAUGCCGCCUCCGGCUCUGCCUCAGCUAUGGGGGCCGCCGCUGGACCCGCACGCCACGGUCGCUGCCAUCACAGGCCGGCCCGUGCCAGCCACCGAAGCAGCUGCGGCGGCAGCGGGGGCGAAUGGAGGAGCGGCUGCGGCGGCUGCGGCUCUGGCGGCGGAGGGCAGCAUUGCGAGUCUGGCGCCCAGCAGUCUGGCGCCAGGCGGCGCUAGUGGGGCGUCCACAGCCCGCUCACUGCUCAGUCGCCGCGGGCCACCUAAAGCCGAAGGCGAGCCGGCAGCAACCGCGCUCAUAGCACCUGCUGGUGGGGAGACCGAGGUGGAAAUGGCUGCCAAGAUGUCGGCCUUUGCGCCUCAGAUGGCGGGCAGCGACACGGGGGGCUUGGGCGUGGGCCACAUGGGUGUGGACGCCGCGGCCACCGCCGCACAGGCUGAGGUGGUGGUGGCGUUCGCGCAGGCAGCAUACCGCCUGGCAGACCCCAACGUCCACUCCCUGCUGCUGCCCUCUCGGGUGCAGCCCUCAGGUACGGGGCCGCACUUCCCUGUGCACACCGCUGGUGCACGCGGCUACAGCGGCCGCCGCAGCCCGCAGCGCGCCAUGUCGCCGCCCGGGAGCGCCGGUGUGGGCGCUGGCCGCCCCGGGAUCGGCCGGUCCUGCUGCGGGUCCAGCCGUGUGGGCCGGGCUGCAGCGUCAGAGGGCCGCGAGCGCUUCGCCGCCUACCUACAGGCGCCGGGGGCGGCGGCGGCAUCCGCGGCAGCAGCUGCCCGCACCGGCGGCAGUGCGGCGCGCGGCGAGGCAGGCUCAGGUGCUGACGGCUGGGGCUGGGCGCCCGGGUGCGACAGCGGCGGCCCUGACGCACCAACCGCUGCGGCCGCUGGUGAGGCUUGCUGGAGCUGCGGCGGAGUGGAGGUCGGGGCCAGGGGGCCCCAGCCGACUGACGGCUCCCUGUUCGGCGGCCCCGUCCACCUGCACCGCGCCGCCACCGCUGACCCUGGGUCGCUGUCUCGCCGCCCCGGCUCCAGCCCCACCCCGGACUACUGGUUCCGGCCGGGCCACGUGGCCGCCUCCUCCUCUGAGCGCGCCGCCACCACUGCUGCCGCGCUGCUGGGUGGCGCUGUCAGCCGCCGCCUGUGCUCCUUGGUGUCGACCUCGGCCAGCUGCGACCUGGGCAGUGCGGGGGCUGGGGCAGGUGGGGGACUGCCUGUGGGCCGCACUGCCUCGGGCUCCAACUGGUUCAGCGCGGUGCCGCAGCUGCGGCUGCCGGGCGCCAGCGGCGGCAGCGGCGCGGCCGGCAUUGCCACCGCGCCCUGCUCGCCGGGUCCAGGUGUGGCUUCAGGCCCGCUGCUGUCGCCGCACAGUGCCACCGCACCCAGCAACGCCAGUGGCUCUCCGGCGGCGCUGUCGCCCAGUGGCGCUGCUGGGACCGGAGCCGUGGCUGGGUGGGGCAGUCCCUCCGCCGCCGCCCAUCGCCGCCCAGGCAUGCUGGGCUCGCGCGCAGGCGGGGGCGGGGGGGUGUGGGGCUACGGAGGCGGACGUAUGUCAGCUCGCGGCGGCGGCACGGCUGCCAACGGCAGCGGCGGCGGUGUGGUGAUGCCACACGGCUCCAUGAGCAACAAGCUGGUGAGAGGUAGUACCGUAAUGCUGUAGCAGUGAGAAUCGCGAGGAGCACGUCUAGGGCUUGCUCAAGCUUGUACAACACAGUGUGCAUUUUCUUCCGCCUCGCACCCCCUCCCUGCACUGCUGGUCGCAGCGCACCUUCUACACCACGGCGCCCAGCGGUGUGGUGACGCCGGACGGGCAUGUCAUGAUGCCGCCUGCCGGGUACACGGCUGUAGCAGGGGCAGCUGCGGAGGGGGCUGCGGUUGAGGACGGCGCUGAAGGCGGCGCCGAAAGCCAGGACGCCGCAGCGGCGCAGGGGCAUGGAACCGCGUCGGUGGACCGGCGGCAUCGCGGCGGGUCGGUACCGCCAAUGGCCGCAGCAGUGGCAGCCGCGGACGCCGGUAUCAACCGAGGUGCACUCCGGUCGCCACUGACCAUUCGCUCCUCCGAGCCUGUGGGAUUUUCUGACGCAGUCACUGCAGCGCGCCUCAAUGUGAGUGCCUCUAUGUUGAGGUAGAUGAAGUGGCACAGCAGCAACACUGAACAAGGAAAGGACUCUGUGGAGUAUGCCGCCGCAUGGGUCCAGCAGCGUCAUCCUUACAACGCGCUUCCAAACCCCUCCACUCCCCAUCACCGCCUGUCGCUCCCCACCAGGUGGCCAUCAUGGCGGACGAGCUGGCGGCGCGGCUGGCGGAUCAGCGCACGGUGGAGCGGCAGCAGCGCCUGGCGGUGGGCCUCAGCGCCGUCGGUGGCAUGAGGCAGGGCCCCGCAGCAGGGGCGGCGCGUGAGGCGGUGCAGAGCUCGUUUGGCGCCUUCAUGGCGGCGCGGGAGGCGACAGCAGCGGGGGCGGCAGACCCGGCUGAGGCCGGCGACGCAUAUGGUGAGGGUUAUGCAGCAGAGUAGGCAGGGGCUGUGGCAUGGCCUUACAAGUGGAUGUCUGUGGCUCGGACUGUGGAUUAAGCAUGUGCAUCGUUUAGGACUGCAGCCAGGCCCCAUGUGGCCCAGGGACUCCAACUGCGGAUGAGGCAGCGAACAGCGUACAAUGUGUGGCAGCACGAGGCUAGGCAAGCGGAGGCGGAGGCGCGUGAGUGCUUUGUGGUGACUCUUGGACAUUAGGAGUACCGACUGAUGCAUUUGAUGACAUCUGAAGCAUUUAUGGCUUGGUCGGUGCGCCAUGCAAAGGACAGCUUGCUGUCGAUCAAUCGUGGCUGUAGACCGCAGUGGUUGCCGGAGCAGGACUAUGUCAAUGGUGCUCAACGUGGCUGACGUCAUGGUGUCGCGGCCCACAUGAGGUCACUGUGGCCAAGAAUGCGGUGAUCACUUGGGCUGGCGGCAACUGGGGCUGAGCGGGCUGAGCGGCUUGGAUUGGAAGUGUGUCCUGGACGGGAUAGUGCAACCCACGAGCAUGUGUGCACCAAUACCUGUGCUUGUCUGCACUUCGGACUGAAGACGACACUCGUCAUACGGACGACUGAGGGGCCGUCAAGACUUGGUGAAGGCGGUUGCUUUGAAUUGUUUGCUGGGGGCCCUGGUGCGUAGAUACAUUGCAGUGGACUGUGUCGAGGGUUGAGUCUUCGGCCCAUGGGCCAUGGCAGCAUGUGCUUCUGUGCCCCAUCGGGCAGUACUAGGUCUUGCUUGUACUUGACGCGAUAGCAUCUCCAUCGUCCAUCCUUCAACUGUGUACGUGUGCCUGCUGGGGAAUGCAGGGAUAUGCGUUGUUUGCUUGCAGGUUUGGGACAGGUUUCGACGUAUGAGGAUCCCGCAUUUGCAUCACCGUGAUCGUGUGCAUGGACAGCUGCCGUUACAGCUUCAGGCUCGCUUGCCGCAGAUGUGGUGUAUGGUUGGAGGAGGGUGGAGAUGGAGUACUGAUCCCAGUUGCGCCCCAGACAUGCCAGCUGCAGACGUCUAACUUGCGAGGUGGAGGGUUUCAUGAAUUCAUGGCCCACACGGCAAAACAAGUGUGCUUGUGCAUAACCGUAUCAUGCGUGCGUAUUAUGGCCAAUUGCCAGCAGUUGCCUGGCAUGGUUGUGAGGUGCUGACAUCCUGGUGGCUCCUUGCGCGGCCUGGUGCUCCAGUCGGUGGCUUGGAAGCUGUAAGCCUGUAAGAAGCUCUUCGGGCACAGCCAGGGGCAAUGCAGGGCACUGCUGACUAUGGUGCAUUGACCUCAAAGCAUAGCCAGGUGACGAUUGCCUGGUCCGCCCAUCUUGCUAUGAAACUGUUAACAAGCGCCGCAAACACACCUCUCUCGCGUUAACGUUACAGCGAUCGCAGUAUCCUCAUCCAUCGUCAACGUACUUACAUCGUACAGUUUACACUAGCCGUGAUUGAAGCCCCAUGGUCAAGUCUGCUGGACAAGCACACAGAAGACCCGGCAGUAAUUCCACUCGGGGUUGACAUGCUAGUAUACCGCGUCGGUAGUCAAAUCAAUGCGCCAGCAAGGCAGCCAGUGGCUAGCUUGCCGGAGUAAUGUCAUCAUGUCAUGGUAUGGGCAUGUUGAAAUGUCCUGCCGCGGCUGCCGGUUACCCAUACCUGUCUGCACCCUACGUCCGCUCGAGACCAUAUCCGCAGGCAGCAGGACAUAAACAUGCAUCCAAACAUCACGUCUGGUGAGAUGUGUAAUAUGGGUUUACGUGUAAAGUAUGCCUCCUGACCCCACCUCGCCACACCGGCUUCUCAGCCUCCACCCUCGUAAGCCUCUCACCAUGCUGCACUCGCUCACACGCUCUCUCAAACAGACUCACUCCACCUCUUACCACAUCCCCACCAAUGCGCUACCUCCACAAUCCCCAUCCACCCUUACGCGCUCCAGCACAUGCACCAGCCGUACGACUCACAGGGGGUGGACCUCAGGCUGCCGUCCCCCCACCGCAGCCCCGUGCAGGGCGAGGUGGCAGCCGGCCCGUCCGCCACGUCCGGGUUGCGCGGCACGUAGGUGGCCGCCGCCUUGCCCAGCCAGGCGCCCACCACCAGCCCCUUGGCGAGGGCGUCUGGGCGCGGCGGUAUCUGCUGCAGCAGCACCGCCCAGGCCGCGGUGUACUCGGUGCCCUGCAGGAGGUAGCCGGGCGCGGCACUGGGGCCUAGGCUCCAGCGCGGGCCCAGCGCCGCGCAUGAGGUCUCGCAGGUGGACUCAAUGCCAGCCUGCCGCAGCAGCAGCACCCGCCGGCCGCCGGCGCCCAGCUGCGCCGCCACUGCAUUGCCGAUGAACACGGCCUGCCCGGGAGGCGAGGGCGGCGGCGGCGGCCGGGGCGGCGGCGGCGGACUGAACACGACUUCUCCCUCUGGCGGGGGCGCGUCCUCCGCGGCCGCCAGCCGUCGCUGGCCUCCCACGACAACAGCACCCGCAAUGAGCACGCCAGAGGCCUCCCCAGUCACCAAUGCCUCCUCCUGCUGCUGCUCCUCCUGCUGCUGCAGCCUGCGGCGGCCCAGCACCGCAGUGGCCGCCAGCCGCGCCGCCAGCACGGAGGGGUCUGCGGGCACCAGGCUGGCCAGGUACGAGUCCAGGCCGCGUAUGCCGGUGGGUGCUCCGGAUGCCGCAGUGAAGCACAGCGCCAGGCGGUACACCCCCACGCCGUUGCCAGCCGCCUCAAUGUCGGCGGCGUUGGGCGGCAGCAGCACUGCGGCACGGCCCUCAGUCCAGUUGAUGGCACGCGGCAGGCCCAGCGGCCAGGGCCCGGGGCCAAACACGGCAGGGUCGAAGUUGACCGGCGGCGGCGGUGAGGGCGGCGGGGGCGGCGGCAGGGAGGUGCCGGGCGGACGGAGGCGGGCGCCCCAGCCGGCUGGCACCGUGUAGGGAAGUGCCACGGUGUCGCUGGGGCCGGGGGUGGUCUUGAUCUGUGUGUGUGGGGGGGGGGGGGAGCGGGUCAGGAGGCCCCGGGAACAAGGACGAAAUUGGGUUAUCUUCUGCACGGUCUUAGCAAUGCCCAUGGCUGGCUUGCCUCUACCCGCGCAGCUGUCAAUGCACAUGCACCGCCCGUGGUUGCACCCCCACACGUGUCCCCCGCGGCCCCUGCCCACCCUGAACGUGGAGGUGAGGAUGGAGCCGUCGUCUGUAAUGGCGGCGGUGAUGCCCGGAGACAGCCCGCCCGCAGCAGCAGCCGGGAAGAUCAGACUCAGCCGGUCUGUGAGCGUGUCGUCAGAAGCAGGUUGGCGGUUGCAAUCACUGCACAAGAUACAGGGCGCUGAUCGAGAUACACCGCAGGUCAGCGCCAAUGGCCACGGGGGCUCAGCCCACUGCCCGCUCCCUGUCCGGCGCCCCCCUCCGCCUGCACCGCGGCGCCACCGCUGACCCCGGUUCUCUGUCUCGCCGCCCCGGCUGGGGAGGCGGUGCGGAGUUUGUUCGGCGCGUUCAUGGCGGCGCGGGAGGCGGCAGCAGCGGGGCGGCAGAUUCGGCUGAGGCCGGCGACGCAUAUGGUGAGGGUUAUGCAGUAGAGUAGUGUGGCCUCACAAAGUGGCUCGGACUGUGGAUUAAGCACUUGCAUCGUUUAGGACUGCAGCCAGGCCCCAUGUGGGCCUUGGUCAGCUUGGAGUUCACCCACGGGUGUGUUGCAUUGCUGCGGCGUUAGGCAAAUCUAAACUCCAAUCCCAUUGUGAAGUGGGGCACUAAAGAGGACCGCGAAAAGUUUGCUCAGGCCAGCUUAGGCGAGUGGUGACUACCCGUACACACCCCACAGUCCGCUCAGGACAAGUUCCGGGCACCCAAAGCCAUACCGCACAUCAGCGCACGCACCUGCCCCGGCGGCCUCCAGCAUGAUAUGUACGGAGCCGCGUGUGCCGCUGCCGUACACAGCGGCGCAGAAGCUGGCGGGCGGCGGCGUGCUGGCGGCAGCGGAGGCGGCGGUGGCCAGGUUGGCUGGGCUCCAGUGCAGCCGCAUGCUCUCACCCAGAGCCAUGCUGCAGGCAUAGCCAGCCGACGAGGCGUCACAGGAGGCGGGGCUGGGCGGCGGCGAGGGGGGCGGCGGCGGUCUCGGCGGAGGGCUGGGCGGCGGUGGGUGCGGCGGCGAGCGGACCUUGGGCAGACGUGGGCGGGGCGGCGGCGGCGACGGCGACUGCUUGCGAGUGUUGGGUGGACGGGGGUGCGGCGGCGGUGGCGACGGCUGGGGUGGUGGUGAGGGCGGCGGCGACUUGAACUGCAUACACAGGGCAAGGGGGCAAGACAGGCACCCGUUAGAUGACUACCAGAUGUGACAGGGCUGUCAAGUGCCGCUAGCGGCACCCGGCGGGCGUAUAGCAGUGAGUGCACUUGGGCGCAAGCUGCUGCGCUCAAGGCCCAUGCCGGACGAGGUACGUACCGACGCCGGGCGCGUGGGGGGAGGUGGCGGUGAUGGCGGCGGUGGGGAUGGUGGCGGCGGCUGUAUCCUGGGCGGCGGCGGCGGCUUGGGUGAUGGCGGCGGCGGCGGCUUUUUCUUCUUGGGUGGUUUGGGUGACGGCGGCGAUGGAGGGGGUGGCCGUGGCGGCGGAGGCGGUGAUACCUUCACCGGCACGCCCUUGGGCAGUGGUGGAGGCGGGGGUGGGGCGGGGGGCGGUGGGGAGGGGGGUGGCGGGGACUUCGUUGCUGCCCCCGGCUCGUACACGCACACGAACAUGAGUGUCUGGCUGCAGCUGGCCGUGAGACUGCUGUCUGUGAGCACGAGGGCCAUGGGGUCCAUACGCGCAGCGCCGCACCCGCCCUUGCCAGGACCGCCGCCACCCGAGGCCCACUCGUUCUGCGGGUGUAGGCGGCAGUGUGAGCAGGUAUCAGUGAAAGUGUGAGGUGUAAGGGGCAUGAUGGGGACAUGCGGCAGCUACAUCGGAGGUUGAGGGCCCCACGAACGUGUCAAUCCGUGUCAAAUAGAGCAAAACGUCACACUUCCUGGACGCCAAGCGACAUAGCACCACCAGGGGCUCUUCGUACAAACGUUUCGGCGUGCGUGGUACAUGCGCGAGGACACGGUUGGACAACUGUCCAUGCACAUGUUACAGCCCCCGCCGUAUGAACCCUCUCCCCGAUCCGCGUCAUACCCGUGUGGGGCCAGGUCCAUGCCUGGAAUCUGGGCGCCCAGCGCCAGUUGACAGUCACCCGUGCCUUCCCCUCCGAAAUCCUAUGCCUCGCCGCCCUCUCCACGGCAACACUGCAUCCUCGACCACCACAGCCCCGCCCGACGGCCCGCUUCCACCCCCGGCCCCGCACGCAGGCCCAGCCGUAACUCACCCAGGGCUUGUCGCCAUAGCUGCCGAAUCCGAACAUGGACUGGCUGAGGCUGUCCCACAGCACCCGCGCCUCGCCCGCCACAAUCAGGCCGCUGAUGUCGCCCCAGUCCGACACCGAGGCCAGGCGGGCGCCGCCCAGCUGGUCGCAGGCGGACUGGGCGGUGGCAAAGGUGACACGGGUGCCAAAUACCGUGUAGGUGCGGGUGCCGAUGGUUUGGGACACGCCUGGAGGUAAAGAGAAAAGGAGGGCGUGAGAGUGUGGAGGCCUCAAUCAGGGUUACGUGGUUGCGACUUCGGGGGCGUGAAGGCUGGUCGGGACAGAGGAGGACUGGCACCAAUCAGUACAGUUACCUCCUGCACGGGGGGGGGGCGGAGCUCGGGGCCCUCACCUCCAGACACGCUGGUGGUCGGGGUGGGGGUCAUGGGCGGCGGCGGCGGCGGCCGCCGGGGUGGCGGCGGCAGCAAGGUGCGUGGCGGCGGCGGUGGCGACUUGGUCGCAGUGGCUGUGCCGGCCGCGUACACGCCCGUGGGCCCGAUGCACAUGUAGAACAGCGUCUGGGCGCAUAUGGCGUUGCUGGUGGUCCGGGCCAGUGUCAUUGUGGAGGUGUCCAGCGACACGGCGCCGCCGCAGGUGGAGCCGCUGGCACUACCCGCGUCCGUCCACACGUGCCAGGGCCUGUGCGCGUGUGAGCAUGGGGUGGGUGGGAUAGGGCGGGCAGCCGCGAUAAGAGGAUGGCCUGACAGCCCACAAAUCCCGUUGGGUGUGGCCGUUUCCUUCUGCUGACGGCUUUUCUUCCCCUGCGCAGUCUCCUCCCCUUGGGCUCCGCCUCCUCACCGCAUCACCUGUCCUCCCCUCCUCUUCUGUUCCCACCUCCUCCCCUCCUCCCCCGCCGUCGCCUCACCUGCCGCCGUUGUCCCCAAAGUCGUACAGCGACACCAUCACAUCCACCAUCAGCCCACCCAGGGGGCCGCCCAGCAUGUCCCCCAGCGCCGCCCCCCACUCGGCGGUGCUGGCCAGCCGCGUGCCCGACCCCCGGGCCGCACAGGCCGCCUCCGCCUCCUGUCGCGACACCCGCACCGCCACGUACGCCAGGUCCUGGCCGGUGCGCCAGCUGGCAAUGGAGCCUGCAGAGGUAGAGGGAGAGCGGCGUGACGCGCAGGGUUCGUAGCCGCACGAUCCGUGGCAGGGAUGGAAACCGUACACUGGCUUUUGUUCCUGAUCCUGCGCUGGAUCGUUGGUGAACACAUGCCCCCAACACACGCCCGCACCAACCAAAGUCGGCUCCAACACCCCAAAAGCAUCCCUGUAGUUGAUCACCCACCUGGCAUCGCUGGAAUGACCGCCCCUUGCGCGCCCCCGCGCACAGGCGGCGGCGGCGGCGGCGAGCUGGCCGCCGCGUCCCGCACCGCACCGCCGUCCCCACCGCUGCUGCCGCCGCUGCUACUGCCGCACAGGGUGCUGCUGCAGGCUGCGUCGAGCGGCAGGGAGGCUGAGGCUCCCAGCAGCAGGGUGGGGGCGGAGGGCGCCGCGGAGGUGAUCUGGAAGGUGACCGAGGACCCUGCGGGCGGAAGGGGAUGCACAGUGUCGGUGCUCGAUAGGGAUAAAGAUUGUGACGAUUGCAGUUGAUGAGAGCGUUGCUUCAUGAAUGUUGUUGCCCUAGGCGAUGCAGCUCCGAGGCCUGCACCCUCUACCCCGUUCGACGUUCUGCCUGCUCAACAACCAUUGUAGCCAAACACUAUCUCCUCUGCGCCUCCUGCGCCUCCUGCCCCUCUCCCCUCACAACUGUAUGGCCUAGAUCCUUGUCCUUGCCGAACUCACUGCCCUCCCUCCCUCCCGCACCUCCCUCCCGCACCUCCCUCCCGCACCUCCCGCACCUCCCUCCCGCACCUCCCUCCCGCACCUCCCUCCCGCACCCCGCGUCACACUCACCCGCUGUGCUGCAGGGCACGCGGUACAAUAGGCUGUAGCUGGGGGCCACACCUGCGUCCGUGCCGGUGGCCCCGCCCAGUGCCACACGGUUGGGGCUGCGCCACAAGAGGGUAAGAGACCAUUGCAGGGUCGGGCCCGUGUCAGCAGUGUGCCGGUUUAAUUGGGUAGGCCGGACAAGGGCAUGCAGGGAGUGGAACGGAUGGGGAGGGGCGCUUGCUGCCUCAUGCGAUGGCCUACCGCCUGUUCGGUGGAGCCCAACCCAGUCAGCCCUCCCUCCCCAACUCACCACAGGGGUGUGACGCUGCCGCUGAUGCCGCCCUCGGUCGCUGUGAGCAGCGCCCGGCGGGCAGCUGGGAACGCCACCUGUGACAGAGGUGGAGGCACGCGGGGACAGCAUAGUCAGGGGCAAGGCACAAUCCGGGGCAUCAAGGACUGCAAAUGCUCCUGCACCCUUCACCGCUGUUGGCCCUGCAUGCAUGCAUUACUCUGUCCCCAUUGCUUGAUGCAAUGUGGCGCCACUGCCCAAACCCACCCACCACGGAUCUGCCCUCACCUGCAACGUGUACAGCUUGCCCCGGCAAAGCGACACCGCCACCGGGCUGUUGCUGUCGGUGCCGGUUAGGACCGUGAAGACAGUUGCCCUGCGGGUUGAGAGGUUGUGAUGCAGGUUAGCAAGUCAGCCGCGCGCGUUGAACGGUUGAGUCGGCCAUAGAUGCCUACUCGACAUCCCUUCCUCACACACUGGGCAGCCGGUCAGCAACGGCGAAGGAGCAUAAUAUGUGUAACGCUACUAUACUUACAAGUCAGAUACCACGGCAUUGUGCACAGUAGUCCCUGUCGCGGCCUUCACCAGCGUGUCAGGGUGGUGAGUACAGGGUCGCCCAUUCAACGCGUAAUUCGGGAGGCUAUUUGCGAGACUCAAGAUGCUUAAUAAAACUAUCACUACUCUAAAUAAUGGUCUAAAGAAUGCGCCUUGAGAGCAGCGCUGCGUUACCACGUCGACCGAUAACGCGCGGCGCCCUAAACGCGCCAUAGCCUGUUUGUCACAAGUUCAUAUGGAUAAGUAUGGUAGUAAAAGCAAUUUCAUUCCUUGCCAGCCCUGUGCACGGCCAGUUCGCCGAAUAUGGGUCCGAAACUUGGAUAGCAAGAAUUGCACCGUUGUGAGAAUGUAUUGGUUUGACUAUAUGCACAGCUGAACCCUGUAUGAUAAAUGUAAGGAAAUGGCGCUCCGAGCAGGAAUUAUGUAUCCCGCCCACCAUUCCCUGAAGCCCACUCGCACCUGCCGAAAUGCUAAGAAAUUGCUCACUGCAGCUGCACUGUGUAUAGAAGAUUUGGCAUAGCACUUAUGGUCGUCUGUCAGUUGCAGGGUACCACCAACGGCUCCUCCUCCUCCUCCUUCUUCUCCUCCUUCUCCUCCUUCUCCUUCUUCUCCUUCUUCUCCUUCUUCUCCUGUGUUUGUGGCAGUAUCUAUAAACAGUGGUCCAAAUCAAAGGCUGUUUAAGUGUCGCAGCGAUGCCCCAUGCCCCAUGCAACAUGCACCGAACAAGCCCGUAUGGAAUCGGGGGGCAAUCGGGCUCCAUGCAAGCCGGUACGACCGGCAUGAAGGGUCAAGCAGACGGAGGAGCUCCAGCCCGCAGAGUCCCGCAAGGAAGUGGACACGACCCUUGCGCUGUUGCCCCUGUUCGCCAUGUUUUUGCCGUGCCCCAGAGUGAGCUAGUUUACAGUUUAGUUACUAGCGGCUGCAACGCUGCCGCAGUGGUGCACGCAUGGCCCCCACUCCUCCUCUGCCCGGCUCUGCCCCUACUAGAAACGUAUGCCGCCGCCGUUGCGCCUCACUGGUCCUUAGCAGACGACAAGCUGCCAUAAUGUCACCUUCUUGAGCCCAAAGCACGCUAAACCAACCGUGCAUGCGACUGACGCGGCGGUCUGCCUCGUUUCCCGCUAAUGCCUGCCGUUCCUGAGUCAAAACAGUCAACGUAAACUUUGUCUGAAACUUUGUUGUAUACAUCCACGUCAAAUAACAGCUCAACCCAACCCUUCGUGCACCGGAUAUGUACUGCCCAUUGAGGCCCACUGCGUUGCACCAGCCAAACGGACGUCUUGUACAGGGUCCAUUCCACACAAUUCCACACCUACCAUCCAUUUCACACUGAGCAGUUUACGACGUUCAACACCGUUACCUUGUCUUACAUAGCGCGAUACUUACAUAAGAGUCAAACUUUGGAAACACAGACCAGCUACCGACGGCCGGUAGAGCCCGGCCGUGCCAUCUGUCCCCUUGACCACCCUCCGCCUCGCCUUCACACAACACACUUACCCGUGUGCGCCACACGAGCCGCACAUCGCCUGCAGGGCGCUGCCCCUGGUACAGCCAGGUCCGCCGGACUGCCUCCACCGUACAUCAAGCGUGUCCAGGGAUGAGUAGCUUGCGCUGGUCGGCUGGGAUGGCGCGUGGCAGCGUCUUGGCGGGUGAGCCGGUCGGAGGCUGCGCAGCAGACAGGGGCAGGGUAGGAUGGGGAAGACGGGAAUGUCGUGGUUGGCGGUCUGAGGGCCUGACCGGAAUUGUCAAUGGGGGCUUAUUUGCAGAUCCUGUCCCCGGCACAGAGGACGCCGCCACCCGCCACACCUCCCUCACCUCCACGGCCGUCAUCGCCGCGCCGCGCUGCGUGCCUGCACUGCCCCCGGCGGCUGCGGUCUGGGGUGCCGCUGCCGCCGCGGCCUUGGCCCGGGCCAUGAUGGCUGACACCUGCUUGGCGGCGGCCCGCAGCCGGUCCAUGUGGAAGCGCUCACCCACGUGCUUGUUGCCUUGGGGGAGGGAAAGGAAGGAGGCGGCCCAGGUGGCACGCCUUGAGUUCAGUGCACAUCGAUACCCACGGCACAUCAUACAGCUAAUGUACCAGUGUCUUUAAUCCAAAUGUUCUCAUCUUGCCAUACUCCUCUCCCGCUUUCUCCACGUGUCCUCCACUGGGCCCAGUCCCACGCACCCAGUCGCGCCAGGUUGACCAGGUCCAGCAUGGAGGAGGCGUGGCUGGAGGCGGGGUCGGCUGGGGGUGGCGAGAAUGGGGGUGCGUGGGUAGGAAUGAGAGUUACGCUGAAUGAAACAGCGGGCGAGGAGUUCAAUGCCAUGGGCACACGACAGGCCAUACAACAAGACACGACAUGUGUCAAACCCCAGCCCAGUCCGGCCCCGCUUCCUCCUCGCACUCACCCUCCUCGCACAGUGCCGCCAUGACGCCGCCGCAGCCGGCCGCCAGGCACUCCAGCACCGUGGCGUGUGCCAGGCCGUACCCGGGCGCACUGCCCACGUGCACCGCCAGCAGGCCCUCCGACCAGCCCGCCGCGUCCAUCACGCCCCGCACAGCCGCGACACAGGGCGCAGCCUCAAACGGGAACUGGCCUGCAGGUGCCGGACGCAAUCAAAGCAGGGGGCCGCGUAAAGCGCAAGAGCUCGCACCACAUUGCUGAUGGUCCCGUCCGACCCUACAACCCGCAGUCGUCCAACUCAGAUGAGUCGAAUCCCUCGCCCCCUCAGGUCUGCACGUGCGCCGCUCUGCCCGCUCACCCGCUGCCGGCUGGUUGAUGAGCAGGCCGCGGGGCCGCACCGCCGGGUCCAGGCGGGCCAGGGCCUCCACCAGCGUCAGGAGCCGGGCGGGCGCGGACUGGGAAGAGGUAGCGGAGGCGGGGCAGCAGAGGCGGGGCACAGGGUUCCGUCGGAGGGGAGCAAGAGCGGUGAGCAUCAACCUCAGUCGCAGUAUGGGGCGCAAAGGGGAACACCCGAUGCAACUCCCGUACCCCCGCCCUUUCCCCCACGCCCCCGGCAACCUGCAUGGCCGCAGAGAAGUCUCUCAGGUGCACGUAGCUGGCGGGCUGUGUCGGGCGGCCCGCGUACAGGUUGCUGGCCACCCAGCGGCAGCGGCUCUCCACCAGCGCACACAGAUCCUCAAUGUGGUACCUGGGGAGGUGGGGGUGGGGCGGGGGUACGGGAGUGGCGCAGAGUGGCGCAAUGGGACAGCGAGUGGGUGAGCACGGGCAGCCACUUCUGGGUUCUGACAGGCACAGGCGGGCAAGCCACCCUAGCCGCUGCUCACUUCCAGUGGGGCCGUAUAACCUCCAACCCGCACCCCUGACGUCUGGAGUCCUGCCCCGCCGGCGCUUGGGGCCUGCCCUUCCCCCCAAUGCCCCCCGACCUCUCACUUGUCCCAAUUGAUGUACGGCGCCGCCACGUCCACCUCCAGGAUGGCGUUUUGGAUGCCGUACUGUGUUCGUGUGAUCGCAGAGGGGUGGGAAACGUGUCCAAGGGUGGAUGCAACACUGUUCCUGGUGUAGCCGUGCGCAACCACGUCUUGGUGCACAAUGCCCUGUACAUGCGCCUACGUGUCCUCGCGUGCCUCUUGCCCGUGCCCCUGCUCCCCCCUACCCCCCAAGGCUCCCGCCCCCCACUCCCCCGGCCCACCUGGAUCAUCUUGGCCAGCCCAAACGGCAGGUCCUGGCCGGGCAGGUCAGACCCGUGCGCGUCAUACAGCUCACUGAAGGCGAAGCAGUGCUCGUCAAUCAGCUUGGAUGAGUGCAGCGCCUGGGGCCGGGGCCGAGGAAGCGCGGGGAUGGGAGGGAAGAUGGGGUUCGGAGCAGCGAGAGGAUGGAAGGAGGAUUAGAGGACGCGCAGGCCGCCAUUCCAGCGCUGGCGGCCCCCCAUAUCACCUGCAGAAACGGCAGGUCUGGUGUGCGCUCCUUCACAAACGCGGCCAGAACGACGUUCUGCAGGCCUGUGGAAGCGGUCGCAAGGGCCAAGUAGGUCGAGGUGGCUGUAAAAGCGCACGGCGCAACCACGCGGUUGACCUUCUAGAAGUAGAUGGUGCCUUAUUGCAACACCAGAGCCUCGCAUCAGCUACAACAUGGUACAUAUUAUUUAAAUAACAAGCUCGUACCGCACGCGCGCGUGCACGACAAGGCCUCCAGCUUGUCCUCAAGGGUCUCGGAGCCGGAAGCGAGGCACUCGACCAGGGUGUUAUCGAGCACGAAUGGUUUGAGUCCAGUAAGGAGCGCCUCGCGAGCCUGGAACGAAAAAGACGCCAGAAAGAGGCGGUUGGUUGGGGGUUCCGACAACUCGCUGGGCCGCUGUACCCUUCGCUGCCACUGCUACCGUAAUGCUCGCAGUUUCAAUCACGUUUGGAUUGCGACACGCAAGGGCCCGAGCGCGCAGGCGCUUAGUGAAACGCAUGCAAGCUUUGUCGGUCACCUUGCGAGCCUCCUCUGCUUGCUUGAGCCGCGCAACAUGCUGGUCAAUGAUAGAAAGGGUCACCGAGCUGCCGCGCUGCUGGCCAGGGUCGCCCCCGCCAUCGGCGCUGGGGCCACGGCCAGUUGUUCGCAAAGAGCCAAUCUUUUGCAACACGCCUUUCAUGUUUGUUAGUGAGUGUUUAUGGAAAUGUUUGGGUGUAAAUGCAGGCGCACAGGGCACCGGUUGGGAGGCACCAGUUCCGAUACAUCGAACGUGACGUGGCGACGUACGGAAGGCCGCGACACCAGUUCGCCCGCAACGCAGCAAGAGGGUCAGCACAAAACGUGUUGAAGCCUUUGUAAGUACGGCAGCAGACACCCGGCAACGGGCGGCUCAGAACCCGCCCCGCCAGCGGCAGCCGUUGGCGCGACAGGGCGUGCGACCUGGCACAGGUAGGGGUGGCACCCCCCCCCUCAAGACCUGGCACGGCCCUGGGCACAGCUAUAAUACCCCGAUGGUUCAUCCACGAGGUCUGCGUUCCACAAUACUUCCUUUAUCCUUAACCGUAUGUGUGCAACCCUGUCUUUGUCUAAGUGACUGGCGCAUUACUGCUGCUAUUCCCUAUUGUAGAAAAAUAGGCAGCAGGUAAAACUCGGCCGGAGCGAGAAGCGACCUCGCGCGUCCAUGGACUUUAAAUGACUGGCGACUGUGGCGACUCGUUGCGAGGUAAAGGGCCCGAGGCGCCCGAGGGCCUAAAUAAGUGGCGUGCUGCGCAGGAACAAACUCGGGGCCUGCCGGUGCCCAAGCGCAACAUGGCUUCCGUGCUCGAGAAGAUGCGCAACAUACAUCCCCAAGGUGGUCACCAUGAUUCUCGCACUGGAGCACGGCGCCACCAUCCUGACGCCGCAUCUGCAGGUGUGGUGCAAGUUAGUCACUAGGGGGUCAGUCGGAACAGGGUCAGUACGCUAUUAUCCUAAUCAGCAUCCGUACACACUUGCCUGCUGACCAGGGUUUCGUGGUGGCGGCCAAGGGUACCAUUCCAUCCCUGCUGGAGGUGCCCAUCCUCCAAACUGCUGGUCUCAUGGACAUCGACACGGCCCCGGUGAGUGUGCGAGUAAGGGGACAUGCAUGCUCCACUAGUGUCGCGCCCCUGGACCCCUAGAUUGGAACCCUUGGAUGCGCGCAGGGGGACGAUCUGUGGCCGAACGGGGUGUCCUGUCCCGGCACCAGUUCAUCGUGUGUGCACGCCGCCAAGCUGACGGUGGUCAGCCUGCUGCGCGAGGUGCUAUACGCGCUCAAGGCGCUUUGCGUCCCGGAGCGGCCGGGGCAGUGGUCGCGGGCCAACCUGGAGUUGGUGCACGCAGCACUUGGGUGUGGGCCGUGGGGCUCGAGGACAGCCUGAUCCAGCGCCUGGCCACGCUGGCGGUCAUCCUCGGCGAUGUCUGCCUGGGGGAUGCCUGUGACGAUGCCUGCCAUCUUGCGAAGUACAUGUUCCCGCAUGUGCUGUUCUGUGAGACCGUGCGGGCCGUGCACGACGUGGUGCGCAGCAGCACCGAAGUCACGCUGGCGUACUUGGCGUCUGCCGGCCCGGGUGCGGCAGGUGAGCGCCAACCAGCCGCGCAACCGGCCGCUUGUUUGCGUCACCUCCGUCCACUUCAGCCGCACGUUCCUGCACGUGGGUGAGAUUGGCGCGCCGCCGCCCUGUGAUCGCGGCCGCAGGUGCCCUUGGAGUGGGCAGCGCGGGCAGCGGCGCCUUCCGCGCCGGGAUGCUGGCGGCGGGCAAGGACCCGAGCGACCCCGCCGCGGUGGCGGCCGCCAAGGGUGAGCGGUGCAAGUUGUCGUGCCGGCCACUCGCGCCACUGGCCAAAUCGCGCUUAGUGUUUUGCCUGUUCGCGUUCCUGCACGUGGGUGAGAUUGGCGCGCCGCCGCCCUGCAAAUGUAGGUAGCAGCGCGGGCAGCGGCGCCUUCCGCGCCGGGAUGCUGGCGGCGGGCAAGGACCCGAGCGACCCCGCCGCGGUGGCGGCCGCCAAGGGUGAGCGGUGCAAGUUGUCGUGCCGGCCACUCGCGCUACUGGCCAAAUCGCGCUUAGUGUUUUGCCUGUUGGCGUUCCUGCACGUGGGUGAGAUUGGCGCGCCGCCGCCCUGCAAAUGUAGGUAGCAGCGCGGGCAGCGGCGCCUUCCGCGCCGGGAUGCUGGCGGCGGGCAAGGACCCGAGCGACCCCGCCGCGGUGGCGGCCGCCAAGGCUGGGCGGGUCCAUGACGGCAGGCCCCAUCUGGGCGGCUUCUACUUGACCUGCAAUGUGAAGAGCUGCAAUCACCGGCAGUUCACCAGUGCCAGUUCACCAGUGCCUGUUCACCAGUGCCAGCCCGCCCCCAACCUCCACUGCUGCGUUGUCCGCUACAGAACAGCCGCCGACCUGGGCACGUAGGUUGGGGUCAGCGAAUUAAUCCGUCAAGUCGGCUUCCUCGCCUAUCCCCAACCUGGUGAGUUGCGGGUGAGCCAACCGCUAUGUCCGCUCCAACCGCGGCUACCCAUCCCCGCCACCUGCUGCUGAGCUUAACCUGGCACAAUGCUCAUCCAAUGCCCUGUGCUUCAAGCACCUUAGAGGCCACGCCCCUUCCUUUCUUCGACGAUGACGCUCACGGCGACUUCCUCAAGGCGUGCUUGAGCGCCUCCUCCUUGGACAUGGAGUACGUCUUCUUCACACCGCACUUCUCACAUGUGCGUGGGAACAUCACCUUGUCCACGUGCCCAUCACCAACACGGUUCUGCAGGUGGGCUGGGCGGGGGAGGGGAGGGCAUUGAAGAUGCCACACACGGCCUAACUUUGCACGAUGCCGUUGUAGGAGGUGCUCAUCAACCGCGAAGUGGUUGCUUGGGAGGCCGCGGCUGCUGCAGAGCGGGAUAACGGUGGGGCGGCAGAAGUGCACAAGGCGGUGCAGAGCGCUGUGGAGAGUGGUUGGCGAGCAUUUGCGAACUCAGCCGCGUCGUUUGAACCGUGGCUGCAGCGGCAGGGGCUGGAGCCAGGGCAUGACCCUUGGCUGGUCGCCGGGUUCCAAACCCAGCGCAAUGCAUGGGACGGCUGGGAGUUUGCCGGCUUCCUGCGCACGGACGGUGCCGCUGCAUGUGUGGCCCUGAAGAAGGCUACUGCGGCUGGCGGCAGCGGGACGGACAGCAGCCCGUCGCGCGGGCGCGCGGGCAGCCGAGCGCGCGGGCGUGGCGGCACGCGGGCGCACAACAGCCCGUCGCGCGGGCGCGCGGCCAGCCGAGCGCGCGGGCGUGGCGGCGGGCGGGCGCACGGCAGCGGAGGGAGUGGCAAUGAAGACGAUGACCAGCGUGGGCCCCGUGGCGGGCCGGGCCGGGCACCCGGGGACAACCCAGUGCCGGGCGUGGUCGCGGCUGGCGAUCCGCUGGCUGUCUUUGAGCAGGCAACCCUUAGCCCCAUGCGCAUCGUGGGCGUUGAUCCCAGCGUAGGCAACUACCUGGUGGCCUGUGUCGGGUCAAUGCCAGGCUUCUCACCGCACAGCUACAGUGGCCGGCCACGAGCCGCGCACGUCUGGCGUGGCCCAGAUGGCCCUCCUGGGCCUGCCCAGCCCCCACUGCAGCGACGGCGGUGACGGCAACAGCGGCGAUGGCAGCAGCAGCAGCGGCGGCAGCGGCGACAGCAGCGACGGCGUCGGCGGGGGCAGAAACGGAGGUGGCGGCGCAAGGGUGGCGGGGCACGCGCCAGCACACGCAUCAGCGUGCCGCAACAGAACGGCGCCGCCAGCAGCGCGCCUGCUUUACCCGGCUGUCUGGCGCUGGCUACCGCCACUACACAGGCCAGACAGGCCGUCGGCUGUGGCUGCAGGCACGGCUAAAGGAGCAGCCGGCGCUCAAGCGCUGUCAGGCGGGGAUACCCAGCGCGCGGGUGGCGUCGGCAGCUGACCAUGAGCUGCGAAUACGCUACCUCUACUCUGGAGGUGGCGUGGACGCGGCGGCGGCUGCGGGGUCUGCGCCUGCGCCGGUGCAACAGUACGGGCUGUGGCACCUACUCCGUUUCUACCGGCAGUGGGGCCAGCGGCGGUGGCGCCUGACUGUCCAUGUGCGGACGCAGAAGGUGGGGGUUGAGGGGAGGGGACCAGCAGAUGCACCCACACCAACUGCAUUGCGCUGACGCUACACCUAUGCCACGGGUACAGGUGCUGGAGCACAAGACGCAGCAGCUGGCUGGUGGAAGGCCCAAGGAGGAGGUCAUUGUUGGCUGGGGCAACGCCAACACUGGCUAUGGCGGUUGCAUCAGCAGGUCGGGGCGGGGCCCAAACCGGGCACUGCUCCGCCUGCUGGUGGACAAGUACGCGCACCUGGUGGUGUACGUGGACGAGUUCUACACAUCGCAGGCAAGAUGAGAGCAGACGGGUUGGAAUGAGUAGACAGGUGGUCGGGUGGACAGGAUGGGGCUCGUGUACUGGUAGCCGGGUAGCCAGCAAGGUUCACACUGUACUCCUGCCCCCUCCCUCCCCAGGUGUGUGCGAAGUGCGGGCGGCGCUUACUCGGCGACGGGCAGCGCUGCCUGCAGGCGGUCGUGCCAUGGGGGGCUUACGUGCUCACCAAGUCCAAGUGUGCAACCACUGCGGGACGGUGUGGGUGAGUCCACUUUGUGGGCGGGCGGCUGGCUGGGCGAUGGAUGGGUGGCUGGGUGGCGGCUCAGUGGGGCUCAGUGGGUGAUGGCUGGCUGGGUGACGGCUCAGUGGGGCUCAGUGGGGCUCAGUCGUGGGCUCAGUGGGGCUCAGUGGGUGAUGGCUGGGUGACGGCUGGGUGACGGCUCAGUCGUGGGAUCAGUGGGAAUCACUCACUCUACCCUCCCGACGGUGCAGGGACGUGACGUCAACUCCACAACCAACAUCCGGCACGCGCUGGUGGAGAUGCUGCUGGGGCACAAGCGACCUGCAUCGCUGCAGACUGGCGGCGGCGGCGGCGGUGGCAGCGGCGGCGGCGGCGGCGGCAGCAGCGGGGGUGCGUGCGCACAUCUUGGUAGCGGAGGGGGCGGGAAAGGCCACGUGGAGGAGGCGAGCGCAGCGCCGCCCAAGAAGCGGCGCAAGCGCGCAGGCUGAGGAGCCGGCUGGUGUCCAGGUAGCGGUCCGCGGUGGGGCUGGCAGGGCAUGCGUAGCGGCAUGCGUAGCGGCAUGACGAGUACGGUAGUGCGGCUGUUGACAAGUGUGCUGUGUCUGGCUGCGGUUGGCUCUGCUGGACAUCGCGAUUGCUAGGCCCUAGGUGUGGCUAUGUGCCUGUGGAAACCGACCCCGGCUAUGUCCGGGCGAUGAGGUUGUUCGGCCUCAGAGAGUGGAGGGGCUCAGCCCCUUUUCCCGUGACCGGGGAUCACUUGUCUAAGUGACUGGCGCAUUGCGCACGCGCGCGCGUAUUGCGUGCCCCAUAUGUUACAUUGUUAACAAAGAACGCGCGGCUGGCGCCCGAUGGCGCAGCAGGAUGCAGCCGGUCGGCGGCCGUCUCGACCAGCAGCAGUAGCAGCCCACAGAACUGAGGGCAGGCGGUUGUGGUGUUUGCGAUGGUCUCCAGGUUGCUUGAGCCUGGGCCCCCGCGGCCGCCUUGGAUACGUGCCGCCGCCCCCGUGGCGGCCUGUCGCCGUCGCGUCAUCCCAACAGGAGUAUUCGUUGCGGGAGUGCGCGGCGGCGGCUUCCGAACCCCUUCACAGACCUCUGGAGAUGACGAUACCGGCGAUACCGGCCGAUCCAGGGGCUUCAGUGUGUCGAGUAGCGUGUGCCUUGCUUGCAGUACCCCUAGCCAGCGCAUGCACCCCACUAACGCACCUGCCCCCACCCGGCCCGCGGCCGCCGCCCCGUGCGGCUGCCGGUUUCAUGACGGGUGUGGGGAACCGCAAUGCGGUCCGCACCCGUCACCUGCUUGCUGUGUUGCGUCCCUUGCCUCGUUGUUUGCGUUUGUUUGCGUCCCUUGCCGCGCUUUGGAGGCCUCGGUUGUGUUUGCUGCAUGUUGCUUCCUCGUGUCGCACGGCAUGCAUCGCACGCGCCCAUGCCGCAUUGCGACCGGGUCGAGCCAUACUUCCUCGGCCACCCGGCGCACUUGCUCAUUUAACCGCAUCCAUCACUUCUCUGUACCUAGUGUUCUUCGUUUAGCCACCCCACGCAGCCCGCAGCCACAGCCCGCAGCCCGGCUUACGCACCAUGUCCUCGCGGCUGUUUGGGGGUUGACGUUGAUUGCCUCACGCCUAGCGCCAUAGCUUCCACGCUGCUGUGCAUUACGCCUCCUGUCCCUCCCUCCCUCCCAUACAUGUCGUACUGAACACCGGUGGCGCUGGUGUUCUCCAGGUUGGUUUCGGGCGCAUCCUUUCUGGUAGUCCCAACGCCAGCCCGCCCGCCGUCGCCCAGCCCAGCCAUCCCAAUACAGCAACCACCUUCCGUCAGCCAGCCAUGGGCCCGACCGUCCACGGCGUUUACUGUCGGUUACGAGGUAACAUGUGAAUUCGCAACUUGCGCUACUGACUGCCUGCUCUCGUGCCACCUGCAAGCCCACUCCGCCUUCCGCUCAGGUCUACGUACGCAUUAGUUCCGCAACGCACGUCGAUGAUUGAGGCCAUGGCCUUCUCCAGGCUACUCCAAUACCCGCCAUGUUCUUCUGGAUCUGCGGGUGGGAGGAGAGUACGGCAUGCGCAGUAUGGUGAUGGCGAUGAGGGGUAGUUUACCAGCCGAGAAUCCGGUCACGCAUGUCAGGGAGGGGUAGUUUCGACUGGGAAAGGCCCCAUGUUUUAAAACGGAACCAGCCAAGCCAGCGCUGAAGUUUGUACUAGCAUGUCUCUACACACCUACAGCCACCAGCUGACUGCCCUAGACGCGAAGGAGGUGAAGGCGUGGCUUCAGGACGCCAGCUGGAAGGGCCGCGCCAAGCAACAAGAACAAUCCGCGGCGUGCCGGCGGGCGACAGCGGGCCGUUUGCGGCCAUCCGCAAGGCUAUCAACAAGGCGGAGAGUAAGAAGCCAACAUGUCCAAGCCCAAGACCGCCGCCCACAAGGCCAAGAUUUCGCCGAUCAACAUUGAAGGACAAGCCCAAGACCGCCGCGACCAAGGCCAAGAGUUUGGCGACAUUGAAGGGCAACAACAACGCGAAGAAGAAGGGGACCUAGUUACUUUUGUGAGAAUGAGGACGAGGAUGACGGGUCAUGGUGGUGUUGCGGGGAUCGUGUUUCGUCACGCGGCAUGUGGGUGGGACUGCAAGGUUUCGUCUUCGACGCUCCAAAUGCCCCUCUGAACGCUCCACCCAACAGAACACGUACUAGCACACAUUAGCAUGCACAUACUCAAGCAUUUGCAGAACGUUUAGCCUCUGGAAAGCGGCUUGUCGGUCACAAAGGCGUGCCGACCCCCCAGAGAUGACAGGACACUUUUUUCGCCUAACUUUAUCGCCGCGUGUCAACAGCUGUCGGGGCAGAUCGCGUGCCGUAGAGGGGGCUCUUCGAUCCCAGCAGUGCCCAGCGCCGCCGUAUGGGGACGUCGGUAGCUGUUUUACUCACGGGAGGGGCUUCGCUGUUUGGUCUAGGCGGGUUGGAUAACAGGAGCAGGGGCUCGUACAGAGCCGGAUGGGUGGCGUGCGUGCAGGCGCACAGCCGUGGCAAAGGCUGUCUCACUCAACCUUGCCGCCCAGGGUAAUCAGAGAUUAGAGAGAUAAGGUCGGGCGGGUUGCCCAAGUAGAGUCACCGCCGCCGGCGGUAGCUGGGGUUACCCUUCGCGUGCGGGGCACGCGGCGGGUGGUAGAGACGGGAAGGGAGAAGAGAGGGGAGACAGGAAAGCAAGCAGGUCCCGCAAGCCGGCACGGCGUGUCGGGGACUUGGUCACACGCAGGUCAGGUAGACCAGGUGCAGGGAUAAGCAAAACUUCUUCAGACCAGAGGUGUCGCAGUCGACCUGCAAUCUGGGGCAGGGGAGGCGAACACCCCAAGGGAAAGGGGGGGGAGAGCCCCCGACGACCCAACCCGCAGACAAGGCGUGCGUGCCCGGUCCAAUGCCGUCCGCCCCACUGCCUAGGCCCAGGCCCUGUACUAUCUCACGCUAUCUUACGCCCGUCUCUGUCUCCCUCACUCCCUGCUACUGCCACUAACCGAACGGGCUCAGGCCCAACUACCGAACCGGACCCUGCUCUGGCUCGCUCCCAGCUCGCCCUGCUAUCAGCUGCUGUACCUAAUCGCUGCCAGACACUACACGUAUGCAACCUGGCGCAGAGGCUCUGCUGGCGUACGCUAUGCGGGUUGGGGUACUCUUGACCCUAGUGUGGGCAGGGGCCUUGGCUAUCACUGACGGGCUGCGGGUAACGGCUCAGGACUUACGGGGAUAGGUCGGGGGCAACAGGCACAGCGGUGUGGGGUAGGGGAGAGAUAGGGAGAGGGGAGAGUCUGGGGCUCGGAUGAACCGGAGUAGGUGAGAGAUAGUAAGGGGAGGGGGAAGGGGGCUUCGAACGGGUACUUGGUUGUGCCGGGAGGCACCCUGUGGGGGAGGGGAAAGGCUAGCCUAGACUUGCGCGAGCGGGCGACUUCGCGCCGAGCACAAGGGGCCGCGAUACAAGGGAUCGUUCUUUGUCCAACUUGUAUUACAAUACUAGAGACUCGUAAUUAAAGAGUCUAUUUAAGAGUGACUCUCGAGUAGUUGGUGUGAGGAGUUGGGAGGAGGAGAGUGACUGAACUACCCCAACUCGCUCGCUUAUAUAUUCCCGUCGGCCCCUGCAUUGGCCGGAUGGGACUCGUACAGGUCGUACAGGCCUAGGCUCCAAAUCGCAAGUGCUAAGCAACUGCGCCGAGGGGCCCAAGUGCUACCAACUUCGCUAAGGGCCCAUCGGGUCCCUCACACAUACACUGCGCCAACACUUGCAUCGCUGCGCGCAACUAAUACCCUUUCAGCUCCCAAACACAGCCGCGCUUCACCUGCGGCGUUCUCCUAGGCAUCCGUAAAGUUCUCAGUCGUCUAGGUCCAGCAUUAAGCUUACCACCUUGCACACGCUAACCGGUCACGGGACCGUUGUCAACUUAAACUAUCAUCCACUACAAGUCAACCAUACUAAGCCUGCGCGUCGCUUGCGCUCCUCGCGGCCCUUCGCCGCUCCGACAGCUUAAGGCAGCCAGUCCUAGUCUUGCACCGCAGCCUUGCUCGAUUAGUACUGUAAUAUCUUCUCCACCCGAUUUACUGGCAAGCUCCGGCGGCCCUGCUUGCUCCGCUAUUUUGCUAGAUCCAAAGUCGAUCCACUUGCUCGGUGCUCUCGCUAUCCGCGUCCUGCCGCUACGACCCUCUGGUGCUGCGGCUCAUGCGCUCAUUGUUUAUAUGACUAUGCGCCAAACACGUCCGUGCAAAAUCCGUCCCGUCAACGUGCAGCGGCGCCCCGUGCAAAGCACCCACAGGCUGCAUGUCCGUCCACAUCUGCAUGUCCGUCCACAUCGGCAGCGUAGAGUUCCACUCGAGCGUCUCUCACUGGUGUCAUGGAGACUAUGUGAACUGAUGCUUAUGUGUAACGGCCAAGGCUUGGUGUGGGUCCUGACGACAACGCUGCCGCCGGCCAUAAAAGCUGGCGACCGCGUCCCAUUGAUCCCGGGAUGCUUCACAUGAUCCCGGGAGAAAGUCGACCAAUCUCUUCCGGCGCACAACACCGAACAUUGUAUGACUAGCGCAAUCGGUCGUUGGUUGCCGUGUAGGCUGCCUGGCUUGGGUUACAGGUUUGUGGCGUUG
rnacentral:lncRNA from 1 species